CUUCUCCUCUUGUCUUCUUUUUACACAGUGUUAUUGUGUCUCGUAUUAUCCUAGUUAAAAUUGCCUCUUUUUUUUUUUUUUUUCCCUAUCUCAUUAUAAUUACCUUUUUGAACAGGUAUUCCCUUCCCUCCCAUUAUUGAUUUAUUUAAAUUAUAUGAAUUUUAAAAUAUUAUUUCAUAUGACCAUAUCCAUUAAAAAAAGUCAUGAAAAUCAAAUUAUUGGUUUUCUUUUAAUUCAUAGUAUUAUGGAAUUAUUCUAAAAUAAAACACAAUUAUAAUCGUACAUAUAAAAUGAUAAAUAAUAAAAAUAUAUUAUAAUUUUUUUAUCAUAUAAUUAUAAAAAAUACUCAAUCGCAAAAUAAUUUCAUCGUAACCAAACUCUUUCUUUUAACCUUUUUUAAAAGAUAAAACCAUUCUUUCAUACCAUUUUACAAAAUUAGCCACCACCUACGUACAUUAAGUUGAUUUUGAUUCCUUUGUAAAGAUACAAUUAUUGCACAGUUUGGAUUUCGGGGUCCAUAAAUUCUGAAAAAAAAAAAACAAACAACAAACGGUUCUGAAACCGAUUAAUUCUCUCCACGUAAGCACGUUAUCCUGUUGAAAAAAGAAACCAUAAUCUCUAUCACAAAUUUUUUAAAACUAUCAUUAGUAAUUGGAUUUUUACUUAAAUAAAAAUUAGUCCGAUGAAAACAGAAAUCAAUCAUCUACGCGGAUAAAUACAAAGAACACUUGAUGUUAUGCCUCACUUGUCAUUAAAUAUUCCUGCGGCCGAAUCAAAUCAUAUCCCAUAUCCAGAAUCAGAAUAAAUGGUAGCUUAAAAUAUAGUGUACAGAGUAACGUCUCUGCUGUACACUUGUGUUUUUGAAGGGUAAAAAGCAAAUAUGGGCAAGGGAGGGAUGUCACAAGGAGAAAAGGAAGAUGGAGAAGAAGUUAACAUGGCAGCUUGGCUUCUGGGUGUCAACACCCUCAAGAUUCAGCCUUUUGAGCUUCCUUCUCUGGGUAUUGUUGAUGCGAGAUUCUGGUUACUCUUUCGACCACGACCAGGAUCUCUGUUCGAUCAACUCAACCACGAUCAGGAUCUCUCCUCGUAUGCUUUCUUCUCCAAAUAUUCCUGCGUACACAAAAACAAGUCAGAGCGCACCGGUUGUUUUCCUGAAGUAAACCCUCCGACGCUCAAGUCAGAUAUGAAGGUUUUCUGUUCCUGGGAACGUUAGCCACUAAUCUUAAGGCUCGUUUUUAGUCUCCGUUCCUUAGAGCUUUCUUUUUCUCUGUUAUAAUGUCAAAAAUUCUAACCCUUUUACCUUCGUUGGCUACCUUUUUAUAGGCCUCUUCUGAACCCAGACCUUCCCUCCAUUCGCGCCCGUUAUCCUCCCACCUCUCGAAAGUGGAUGUUCCACUUCUGUAAUCGUGGGUGGUUGUAUGGCCUUCGUGCCUUGAUUCUCGGGUUGGAGAGCACGCCUCGCCAACUGUCGUUGACCGGGUCUCCUCGACUCAAGCUUUAGCUGGAAUGACUUUAUGCUUCUAACAUAGGAUCGGCCUCGCGGAUGGUGCAUUUGUGGAUGAGUAGAAUAUUCCUGCUCCUGCUCCCCUGCUGCCAGAUUCUUACAGUAUAUACUUGCUUGCAAGACCUUGCUACCAGAUGGCUGCUCAUCACAGCUGGUCCUCACCGAAGUACACUCUGCUACCAGGUAUCUGCUCGUCACGGCUGGUCUCGUUGAAGUAUAUCCCCCAAAUACCGGUCCCCCAGUUUCUGGUGUUGGGUAACAUAGUGAGUCGACAACAGAAACUCAACGGUUUUGGCUUGCGUAGGGCAGGAAAAGGUUGCCAAGAGUCGUGUCGCAUUUAAUUACGGAAGAGGUGAUGUGGCAUAAAUCUAUCCCUCCAUUGGAAUUUCAAACCAAGGGUUACGAAACCCUUGGGAUUUGGUGCCGUUAAAUGCUAGCAGCCCAAGGGGUUGUUCCUCAUUAGGAACACUCAAAACCCCCAAACGAGAAACUCGUCGUUUACUCCACGUCUGUUUCUCCGACGAACGAGUUUCGGCAUAAAAGCAUCCAACCAUGUCUCCUUCCGACUGAGCCGUCCCCUCCGACUAAGCCACUACUUCAGGUAUUACUCCUAUUUCCUCACUCAGGGUGUCUCCCGAGCCAGAUGAUCCCUCGUCACCGCUAUUUCGGCCCUAGGAGGUUGUUUGGGCGGACAUUCUCCUAGCACUAGUCCCAACACUAGAUCUAAUGGGUUCUAAGGGGAUCCCGGGGUCAAAGGCAGCAUCGGCGAGCAGACUAGGUAGGAAGUCUAACUCCUCGUCAUCAACCUCAAUGAUUUUCUCUUUACCUUUCGACAUUCCAUAGGCUAUAACCCGAGCACCACCACCAACUAUUACCCAAGAAAAAUAGAGAGAAAAGAGAUAUCAACAACUAUCCAAGACCGCUAUUUCGGCUCGAGGAGGUUGUUUGGGGGGACAUUCUCCUAGCACUAGUCCCAACACUAGAUCUAAUGGGUUCUAAAGGGAUCCCGGGGUCAAAGGCAGCAUCGGCGAGCAGACUAGGUAGGAAGUCUAACUCGUCGUCAUCAACCUCAAUGAUUUUCUCUUUACCUUUCGACAUUCCCUAGGCUAUAACCCGAGCACCACCACCAACUAUUACCCAAGCAAAAUAGAGAGAAAAGAGAUAUCAACAACUAUCCAAGACCGAGGAAAUAGAAGUAAUACCUGAAGUAGUGGGCUCAGUCGGAGGGAACGGCUCAGUCGGAAGGAGACAGGGAUGGAUGCUUUUAUGCCGAAACUCGUUCGUCGGAGAAACAGACGUGGAGUAAACGACGAGUUUCUCGUUUGGGGGUUUUGAGUGUUCCUAAUGAGGAACAACCCCUUGGGCUGCUAGCAUUUAACGGCACCAAAUCCCAAGGGUUUCGUAACCCUUGGUUUGAAAUUCAAAUGGAGGGAUAAAUUUUUUCCACAUCACCUCGUCCAUAAUUAAAUGUGACACGACUCUUGGCAGCCUUUUCCUGCCCUACGCAAGCCAGAAUCGUUGAGUUUUUACUGUCGGCUCACUAUGUUACCCAACACCAGAAACUGGGGGACCGAUGUUUGGGGGAUAUACUUCGACGAGACCAGCCGUGACGAGCAGAUACCUGGUAGCAGAGUGUACUUCGGCGAGGACCAGCUGUGAUGAGCAGCCAUCUGGUAGCAGGUCUCGCAAGCAAGUAUAUACUGUAAGAAUCUGGCAGCAGGGGAGCAGGAGCAGGAAUAUUCUGCUCGUCCAUGAAUGCACCAUCCGCGAGGCCGAUCCUCUGUUAGAAGCGUAAAGUCAUUCCAGCUAAGGCUUGAGUCGAGGAGACCCGGUCAACGACUGUUGGCGAGGCGUGCUCUCCAACCUGAGAAUCAAGGCACGAAGGCCAUACAACCACCCACGAUUACAGAAGUGGAACAUCCACUUUCGAGAGGUGGGAGGAUAACGGGUGCGAAUGGAGGGAAGGUCUGGGUUCAGAAAAGGCCUAUAAAAAGGUAGCCAAUGAAGGUAAAAGAGUUAGAAUUUUUGACAUUAUAAUAGAAAAAAAGAAAGCUCUAAAGAACGGAGACUAAAAACGAGCCUUAAGAUUAGUGACUAACGUUCCCAGGAACAGAAAACCUUCAUAUCUGACUUGAGCGUCGAAGAGUUUAUGCCGGGAAAACAACCGGCGUGCUCUGACUUGUUUCUGUGUACGCAGGAGUAUUUGGAGAAGAAAGCAUACGAAGAGAGAUCCUGAUCGUGGUUGAGUUGAUCGAACAGAGAUCCUGGUCGUGGUCGAAAGAGUAACCAGAAUCUCGUAUCAACAUUUUGGCGCUGUCUGUGGGGAGCUGAUCAAAAAGCUUCUGUUGACAGCAAGAAGAGGAGUAAAGUAAGUGGAAAAACAAUGGAGGCAGGAGAAAGUAGUGCACAAGGGGGUGAUAUGAGGCUUAACGAUUCCGUGACGCUGGGGGAGAUAGCCAGUGAAGCACGGGAAAAAGCCAUGUUUGACCGGAUGGAACGGAUGAAAAAGCAGAUGGAAACCCUGAAAACCAUCCUACAUGAGCUACGGAGUGAACGAAAGGGAACCCAGGAGGAAAGAGUGAGAGGUAGUGGAGUGGCACCAGGUCACGAUAGUACGAGGAGAAGUCAAACCUCCAGGAGAUUUGGUGGUGAGAGAGGUGACUUAUCUCUGCGGGGAGAAAUUCAUAGAGAGGAAGAGCAAUCCCCAGCAAGACAUAUUUUUGAUGAGGACGACGGGGUGGCGAAUGUAGAGGAAACAGAGCUCAGGCAACACUUACAUGAUGUAGAGCAAGAGCGGGAUCAAGUUGCAGCACGUGACCCUGGUCGUGCAGUGCAACUGGAGAAGGAAGUGCGCAGACUAGCGCAGGUAAUUGAUGACAUGCAAGGAAGAAGUAGAGCUCCUGGUUGGAGGAUAAUGCUGAACGGAGAAUCACCGCUCGCAGCAAAGAUCAUGAGGGCAGUCAUUCCAAGAGAUUUUCGCCUCCCAGACCUUAGAUAUUCGAGACGAACUGAUCCGUUGGUGCACAUAGAGCGCUUCAACGACAUAACCGGGGUGCAAGGAUUAUCUCAAGCCCAAAGGUGCAGGGUGUUCCCACUAUCCCUAGAGGGACGUGCACGCGAGUGGUACAUGAAACUUCCUCGAGGGAGCAUUAAAACUUUCGAGCAGAUGUGCAAGGAAUUUGCAGAGCAGUUUCGUGGGGCAAUGGCACCAGAAGAUGACAUGAUGGAGUUGAAAAGCAUGAAGCAGGGAGAGCAAGAAACCCUUCGGGAGUUCAUCAAGAGGUUUCAUCGUGCGGUCCUGGAUUUGGGAGCCUUCAACCAUCCUCAGGCAUUAAGGGGAUUGAAAGAAGGGGUGAAGAUAGGAAGGCUAUGGUACAACUUGAGAAGCCCAGUUAUUCAGACGUAUGCAGCCGCAUACGAGCAGGCUAAGAGGGACAUAGAGAUUGAGGAAGAAAAGACAGUACGGAUUAAGACAGACCAGCUAGAAGGGUUGAGAAAGAAAGAGAAGAGAGCAUUACCAGGAAAUAGGCCGAUCAGGAGGAGGGACCACCAGGCCUCAGGUAGUGGUGCAGGAGGUCGGGUAACCGCUUACCAGCCUCAUCAGAGGUUACCACAGUAUCAGCGCAGCAGGACGCAACCUCCUCGCUCACCAGCUAGGGUGCCUUGGAGAAGGCAUGACUCGGCAUAUGGUGGUCUUCAUCCACACUCCCACGGUAGUAGAGGGAGCAGACCAGAAGCGCUGCCACCGCCUCCAACUCAGAACGGCGCAAAUAGAGAAAGGGCAGUGCACAUGAUCGACCAGAACCAGGACUAUGGGUAGUAUACGUCCUUGAAGAUGCCCCUGGACGAGGUGUACGAGGCCAUAAAGGAUCGGGGGCUACUGUACCUCCCUGCCCCAAUAACAAAGCUACCCAACAGGAGGGAUAGAGGACGCUAUUGUAAGUUCCAUGGCACUCAUGGCCAUACCACUACAGAAUGUAAAGAUCUCAAGACCCAGGUUGAAGAUUUGGUGAGAAAUCGGUACCUGGACGAGUUUAUAGAUGGGACUUUCCUGAUGAUGGCCUCGACAUGUGAAGGGGAGCAGAGUGACAGAAACUUGAGGCGCGAGCAGCCUACAAUAAAAGUGAUAGCUGGGGGCCCAACAUUGGCCGGAGAUUCCAACAGAUUGAGGAAGAAUUAUGCUAGAUACGCCAUGACUAGUAAAGAGGUAUUCUUCAACACCCCAGCAGCCAAACGAGCAAGAGUCAGGCAAGUGCCAAUCAUGUGGACAGAUGAUGAUGAAGAAGGGAUUAUAUACCCCCACGAGGAUGCUUUAGUUAUCAAGGCCACUGUUGCUAGCAAGAAGUUUGACCGGAUACUGGUUGACACAGGGAGCUCAGUUGAUGUGUUGUUUAAGUCAACUCUGGAGGAGAUGGGAAUAGCAGACCUGAAGUUGGAGUACACCAAUACCUCCUUGAAGGGGUUUGGAGGAGGAAAGCUGGUCCCUCUGGGCGUGGUCAAGCUGCCUAUCACGAUUGGGAGCUCCCCGACAGAAAGGACUAUGAUACUAGACUUUGUGGUGGUGGAUGAAGAAGGUCCUUACCAGAUGAUCCUAGGUCGGACAUUUCUGAGGAUGAGCAAAGCAGUACUAUCCAACCAUUAUCUAGCUCUCAAGUACCGGAUGAAUGGGGUAGUUGGAGUGGUACGAGGAGACCAGAGAAUCGCACGAAGCUGUUACUCUUCGGCAGCAAGGGAAGCAAUGCAAAUAACAUCCCUUGAUACCCGAGUGGAAAAUAAGAAUGGCAGACAAGAACUUGUAGAGGAGCUUGAGACAGUAAGCCUGGGACCAGAGAAUCUGGGAAAAACGAUCAGAAUCGGGUCGCGACUUAAAGAAGAGCAGAAGCAGGAGUUGGUGCAAUGCUUGCGGGCUCAUGCAGAUGUGUUUGCUUGGACAUAUGAAGACAUGCUAGGGAUUGAUCCUGAGGUUGCAUGUCAUAAGCUGGCAAUAAAGAAAGGUGCUCGGGCAGUAAGGCAGAAAGAAGGUGCUUCAACUAGGAGAGGUAUGAGGCUAUAAAUGACGAGGUGGAGAAGCUCUUGAAAGCAGGGUUCAUUCGGGAAGUCAAUUAUCCUGAAUGGAUAUCGAAUGUGGUGUUAGUAAAAAAGGCUAAUGGCAAAUGGAGGAUGUGUGUGGACUUCACGGACCUCAACAAGGCAUACCCGAAAGACAGCUUUCCCUUACCAAAGAUUGACCAGCUUGUAGACUCGACAGCUGGACAUGGCCUGCUCAGCUUCAUGGACGCAUUCUCGGGAUACAACCAAAUCCCCAUGUUCGAGUAGGAUGAGGAGAGCACGACAUUUAUUACUAGCCAGGGUCUGUUCUGUUAUAGGGUAAUGCCGUUCGGUCUUAAAAAUGCGGGGGCCACGUACCAAAGGCUGGUGAACAAAGUCUUUAAGCCGUUGAUUGGGAGAACAAUGGAGGUGUAUGUGGACGACAUGAUAACUAAGUCGAAAAUCCCGAAGGAACAUGUCGAGCACCUCGAGGAGACGUUUGCACUUUUGAAGAAGUACAAGAUGAAGCUCAACCCGAAAAAGUGUGCUUUUGGGGUCGAGUCAGGGAAAUUCCUCGGAUUCAUGGUGAGUCAUAGGGGGAUCGAGGCAAAUCCCGAGAAGAUCCAGGCGAUCGUUCAGAUGAGGUCUCUUCGUAACCUGAAGGAGACGCAGAGCCUUACGGGGAAGCUGGCGGCAUUGAGCCGAUUCAUAUCCAAGGCUACAGAUAAGUGUUAGCCAUUCUUUCAAGUGAUAAGAAGAGGGAAGAAAACAGAAUGGACCCCAGAGUGCGAAGAGGCCUUUCAGAGCUUGAAGCAAUACUUGCAGCAAGCACCCCUGCUGUCCACACCAAGGGAUGGGGACAAGUUAUCUUUGUAUUUGGCGGUAUCAGAUCGUGCCACAAGUUCUGUUCUGGUGAGAGAGGAAGAAGGGGUUCAGUAUCCGAUAUACUACACCAGCAAGGCCCUGCUCGACGCUGAGACCCGAUACCCACCGUUGGAGAAAUGGGCACUCGCUCUUGUGGUCGCUGCUCGGAAGCUGAGACCGUACUUUCAAGCAUUCCCCGUCUCAGUAAUAACAAACCAGCCGUUGCGUCAAACCUUACACAAGCCGAAUACCUCUGGUCGGCUCGUGAAGUAGGCUAUAGAGCUGAGCGAGUUCGACAUUGAUUACAAACCCCGAGCAGCGAUAAAGGCGUAAGCAAUGGCCGAUUUCGUAGCAGAAUUUACAGAGCCUGAAACAUGUUUGGACCAGCUGGAUAUUGCUACAGACAACAGCGAAGCCCGAGUAUGGCAGAUGUCUGUAGAUGGGUCAUCAGGGGAGCAGGGAUCAGGAGCAGGAAUUGUCUUGGAAGGCCCAGAAGGGGAGGAGAUCUCUUAUGCUAUAAAGUUAGAAUUCGCAGCCACAAAUAAUCAGGCAGAGUACAAAGCCUUGAUAGCAGGUUUGGAAUUGGCUAAGGCCGUGAAAGCAGAUAGAGUGAAGAUCAAAACUGAUUCCCAGCUGGUUACAAAUCAUGUCAGUGAAAGAUUUCAACCGAGAGAGGAGAAGAUGGAGCAGUACCUGAAGACAGUCAGGUAGAUGAUGGGAAAAUUUGAAGCGGUAAAUGUGAUACAAAUCCCCAGGGAGUAAAAUAAUCGAGCAGAUAUUUUGGCUCGGAUGGCAGCGGUAGCAGACCCAAAAAUGCCAAAGUCGAUCCCUCUGGAGGUGAAGUCUAGCUCGAGCAUCGAGCAGAAUCUGGAGGUGCUGCGGAUAGAACAAAAAUGCUCGUGGAUGGAUCCGAUAAUUUCAUACCUUAGCGACGGGGUAUUACCACCAAAUAAACUACAAGCUCGGAAGAUUAGAGCCCAGGCCUCGAGAUACACGAUGAUUGACGGGGUACUGUAUCGGUGAAGGUAUACGCUACCGUUCCUUCGGUGUUUGGAUGAGGACGACGCGGACUGCGUACUGAGAGAGGUACAUGAAGGAAUUUGCGGAAACCAUUCUGGUGGGAGGUCCCUGGCCCACAAGGUUCUAAGGCAGGGAUAUUUAUGGCCGAUAAUGCACCAAGAUGCGGAGGAGAAGACCAGGAGCUGUGUAAGCUGCCAAAGUUUUGCAAGUUUCUCCAACCAACCACCAGAGAAGCUCACCUCUAUGGCCUCCCCUUGGCCAUUUUCUCAAUGGGGAAUUGAUCUGAUCGGCCCGUUGCCAAAGGGACGAGGAGCAGCAACACAUGCAAUAGUUGCGAUAGACUACUUCACGAAGAGGAUAGAGGUAGAAGCCCUUAGCAGGAUCACAGAGAAGAAGACAACAGACUUCGUGUGGAGAAACCUGGUCUGUCGGUACGGGAUCCCUUAUGCCUUGGUAAUGGAUAAUGGCAGGCAGUUCGAUAAUCACAGCUUCAGGGAUUUCUGCCAGAACCUCGCGAUAGAGUUGAAAUAUUGCUCGCCUGCUCACCCACAGUCUAACGGGCAAGUAGAAGCAACCAACAAGACGAUCAAAAGGCUUUUAAAAAUCAGGCUUGGAGCAAAAAAGGGUGCUUGGGUUGAUGAGCUAUCAGGUGUACUAUGGGCGUACAAGACAACCCAUAAGACAGCAACUGGGGAAACUCCAUUCGCCUUGGCCUUCGGACACGAAGCGGUUGUACCAGCCGAGAUAGGAACAACCACGCACCGGACAGAUCAUUUCGAUGAGCAAGAGAACAACGACCAGAUGUGCUUGAAUCUGGAUCUGCUAACCGAGAAGAGAGAACAAGCGUCGAGGCGAUUAGCCAUUUACCAGCAGAGGGUUGCUCGGUACUAUAACCAGAAGGUAAAUGUACGGCAGUUCAAGGUCGGAGAUUGGGUGUUGAGGAGAGUGAAUCAUAACACGAAAGACUCGGCCCAGGGAGUACUCGGACUAAAUUGGGAGGGGCCAUAUAGGGUCAAGCAGCUAGUUGGACCCGGAGCUUACAAGCUGGUUCGCACGGAUGGCCACGAGGUGAAACGCCCAUGGAACGCGGCACACCUCAGGAAAUAUUUCCAGUAAGACUUGUUCAUGCUUUAAAGUCAUUUAUGUUCGUGCUCGUUGUUUUUAUUUUUUAUUUCUUAUUUCAAAGCAAUCUCAUGUAAGCUGAAUUCAAUAAUAAGUGAAUCAAUGAGGAAUUUCAGUCAACUAUACUGUUGAAAAAUUUUCUAAGGCAUGCAAAGGCUCACCAAGUCUCAAAGCCUGUCUUAUGGCGAGACCAGAAGCCAAGCGUGCCAGGAUCUGCUCGAUCACGCGAAGGCGAGCAGACUCCCAAGCAUUGAAAAAUUUUCUAAGGCAUGCAAAGGCUCACCAAGUCUCAAAUCCUGUCUUAUGGCGAGACCAGAAGCCAAGCGUGCUAGGAUCUGCUCGACCAAGCGAAGGCGAGCAGACUCCCAAGCAUUGAAAAAUUUUCUAAGGCAUGCAAAGGUUCACCAAGUCUCAAAGCCUGUCUUAUGGCGAGACCAGAAGCCAAGCAUGCCAGGAUCUGCUCGACCACGCGAAGGCGAGCAGCCUCCCAAGCAUUUAAAAAUUUUUCUAAGGCAUGCAAAGGCUCACCAAGUCUCAAAGCCUAUCUUAUGGCGAGACCAGAAGCCAAGCGUGCCAGGAUCUGCUCGACCAAGCGAAGGCGAGCAGACUCCCAAGCAUUGAAAAUUUUUCUAAGGCAUUAAAAAGCUCACCAAGUCUCAAAUCCUGUCUUAUGGCGAGACCAGAAGCCAAGCGUGCCAGGAUCUGCUCGACCACGCGAGGGCGAGCAGACUCCCAAGCAUUAAAAAAUUUUCUAAGGCAUGCAAAGGCUCACCAAGUCUCAAAGCCUGUCUUAUGGCGAGACCAGAAGCCAAGCGUGCCAGGAUCUGCUCGACCACGCGAGGGCGAGCAGACUCCCAAGCAUUAAAAAAUUUUCUAAGGCAUGCAAAGGCUCACCAAGUCUCAAAGCCUGUCUUAUGGCGAGACCAGAAGCCAAGCGUGCUAGGAUUUGCUCGACAAAGCGAAGACGAGCAGACUCCCAAGCAUUUAAAAAUUUUUCUAAGGCAUGAAAAGGCCAACCAAGACUCAAAGCCUAUCUUGUGACGAGACCAGAAGCCAAAUAAAUAAAUAAACCAAAACUGCAAUAUGAGAAGGCAAACAAGAACAAUUUUAUUAAGCUUCUAAUAGUCCGCAAAGUUGUUAUAUACAAUGUUCAAAAAGCAAUUACAACACAAGAAAAGUUUAGGAAGACGGCGGGUCAGUUAGCCGAGCAGCUUCAGUUGGUUGUUCCAUCUCAUGUGCAGGGGGUAUCACCAAUUGCGUCCGGGGGGUACUCGCCUCACCAACAUCAGCAGGGACAGCACGAGGAGGAGAGUUGUCCUCCUCAACCACAAUUGGUUCCACCACUUCGACAUCCUCUUUUGCUGCCUCCUCAUCCAUGUGUUGAGCAACACCAGCUGCAAGGUCAUCCAUCUUCAUAUCAGGGUGCUGCUUCCCGAGGACGGCCAUGAUGCAAUGAUAGGAAUGUCGAAGUCCCUGGUCGUAUUUGUUGUCAGCUUCCUUCUCCAAGUUCUCGACCUAACCCGGUGGGAAUCGCGGAGAGAUUCGAACUGAGCCUCGUACAUAGCCUUCUGCCUUUGCAGAUCUUCCUUGACCUUAGUCAGCUCUUCCUCGAGGGUAAUGGCCUUAGCUUGAGCAAGAGAUUCUCGCUCAAUCAACUUCAGAUUCUCGAGAUUCAGGUCUCCUGCUUUCUUCUCAGCAUGGUCAGCUCUGGUCAUCGCUGACUGAAUGUCCUCCUUCAUCUUCCGGUCAUAACGGCCGACCUUGGCCUUAUAGUAAGUGGUCAUGUAGCUGAGAUGGAAAGCGCUAUACUACAUGGCCCUCACCAGCUCACCCAGGGUGCAGCCAUCAAAGUCCUCCAGGUCCUUUUUGCUCACGAGUUUAGAUAGCUCGUUGAGAUAAGGGACCAAGUGCUCUGCUCGGUUGUCAGAUAAACGAGAUCUAGGCCCGACAUGAGGAGAAGAAGAAGCAGGAUCAGUGGCUGCUCCACUAGUUUCUUCGACUUUGGCAGGAGGAGGAGGUAGAGUCUUCAAGGGGGGAACCUGCUGCACAAUGUUCACCCGCUUCGCAGUGGGAGCAUCUUUGUUCUGGUCCCGCUUGGCAGCUUGAGAUCGAGGAUGUUUCCGAGUCAGAGCCCUAAUCACAGCAUCCUCCAUCUUAUGGCCGGGGAACAUCAGACAAGAUUCGACCAGGUUAUAAACAGUUAUCAGCUCUCUGCUUGAGCAGGAAUUGGCCAGUACAGCUUCGACCCGUUUGAGCUGGUCGGGUUUGAGUGGGAAGUGAACACCCCAAGAACCUGCAAUACGAACAGACAUUUGGUUAGAGACAAACCAGUAAAGUGAGAAAAAUUAUGGAGACAAGACAUCUAAAGCGAGCAGGCAACCUGGGACCACGAAACGGGGUGGGACGCGAUAAUCCUUCCCGUCAAUCUGUGCAACCUGACCCCAGGGACCCCCAGCAAAAAAGAACUUUUUCUUCCAAUUCCCACCACCACCAGUUGGUAGAUCGGUUAUGGGUUUCCUGGUUUUAGUAGUUGAUUGGAAAUAAUACCAGCCGGCAUCUUUGGGGCUGCUUUUUAGCUGGUACAGGUGCUUCACCUUAUCAACUGUGGGCUCGCUUUGGCAACAUUUAUCCCACAAUAUGAACAGACCAGAGAGCACUCUCCACCCGUUGGGGUUCAGCUGACCAGGAGUUAAAUUCAACCCGUUAAGUAUCCGGGCAAAGUAGGGUUGCAAAGGACACCUCAGCCCAUACUUAAAACUCUCCAGAAACAGGGUAACAUAUCCCCUAGGGGGCCGGCUAGGAGUAUCCUUCUUUCCUGGGACCUUAAGAGGUAUUUCACCAGGAAUAUUAUACCUAACCCGGAGGUCAGCGAGCUCGUCAAAGGUGGUCGUGCACGUGAUGAAAUCAAUAGCGUAAUCCUAUGAUAGGGCUCUACCUCCUAUUGUAUUCCUCACUUCUGGUCGUGAUGUUUCUGGUGAGGGCAUCUCACCAGAAUCACCUCCCUAGUCCUCACUCGGGGUGUCUUCCGAGCCAUAUGAUCCCUCGUCACCGCUAUUUCAGCUCGAGGAGGUUGUUUAGGGGGACAUUCUCCUAGCACUAGUCCCAACACUAGAUCUAAUGGGUUCUAAGGGGAUCCCGGGGUCAAAGGCAGCAUCGGCGAGCAGACUAGGUAGGAAGUCUAACUCAUCGUCAUCAACCUCAAUGAUUUUCUCUUUACCUUUCGACAUUCCCUAGGCUAUAACCCGAGCACCACCACCAACUAUUACCCAAGCAAAAUAGAGAGAAAAGAGAUAUCAACAACUAUCCAAGACCGAGGAAAUAUGAGUAAUACCUAAAGUACUAGCUCAGUCGGAGGGAACGGCUCAGUCGGAGGGAGACAGGGAUAGAUGCUUUUAUGCCGAAACUCGUUCGCCGGAGAAACAGACGUGGAGUAAACGACGAGUUUCUCGUUUGGGGGUUUUGAGUGUUCCUAAUGAGGAACAACCCCUUGGGCUGCUAGCAUUUAACGGCACCAAAUCCCAAGGGUUUCGUAACCCUUGGUUUGAAAUUCAAAUGGAGGGAUAGAUUUCUGCCACAUCACCUCGUCCGUAAUUAAAUGCGACACGACUCUUGGCAGCCUUUUCCUGCCCUACGCAAGCCAGAACCGUUGAGUUUCUACUGUUGGCUCACUAUGUUACCCAACACCAGAAACUGGGGGACCGGUGUUUGGGGGAUAUACUUCGACGAGACCAGCCAUGAUGAGCAGAUACCUGGUAGCAGAGUGUACUUCGGCGAGGACCAGCUGUGAUGAGCAGCCAUCUGGUAGCAGGGUCUCCCAAGCAAGUAUAUACUGUAAGAAUCUGGCAGCAGGGGAGCAGAAGCAGGAAUAUUCUGCUCGUCCACGAAUGCACCAUCCGCGAGGCCGAUCCUUUGUUAGAAGCAUAAAGCCAUUCCAGCUAAGGCUUGAGUCGAGGAGACCCGGUCAACGACAGUUUGCGAGGCGUGCUCUCCAACGCGAGAAUCAAGGCACGAAGGCCAUACAACCACCCACGAUUACAGAAGUGGAACAUCCACUUUCGAGAUGUGGGAGGAUAACGGGCACGAAUGGAAGGAAGGUCUGGGUUCAGAAGAGGCCUAUAAAAAGGUAGCCAACGAAGGUAAAAGGGUUAGAAUUUUUGACAUUAUAACAGAGAAAAAGAAAGCUCUAAAGAACGAAGACUAAAAACGAGCCUUAAGAUUAGUGGCUAACGUUCCCAGGAACAGAAAACCUUCAUAUCUGACUUGAGCGUCGGAGGGUUUACGCCGAGAAAACAACCGGUGUGCUCUAACUUGUUUCUGUGUACGCAUGAAUAUUUGGAGAAGAAAGCAUACGAGGAGAGAUCCUGAUCGUGGUUGAGUUGAUCGAGCAGAGAUCCUGGUCGUGGUCGAAAGAGUAACCAGAAUCUCGCAUCAACAGGUAUUUUGAUCUUUCUUUCAUCUCUGUCUUGUAUCUUAGAAGUGUUAUGGAAUUUGUUUAUUGGUUGAAGAUAUGAACUUUUGAUAGAUUGAUAGAUAUCUAAAGAGAGAUCUUUGGUUGAAAAACAAUAAAAACACAUCUUCCAAUACAGCUUAUCUCAUACCUCUUACAAUUGAAUUAACUAUCACUCACAAUUAAUGUAAUUCAAACUGAUUGUUUUAACAUCUUUGUUUGUUAUUUGUAAACUGUAGGACCAUAUGAUGUUUUAGUCAGGAUGAAAGCCGUUGGUAUUUGUGGAAGUGAUGUGCAUUAUCUCAAGGUAUUUUUGUUUAUUCCUCUUCAACUUCCUUUAAAUUAUUAUUAUUAUUAUUAUUAUUAUGGCAAUUAAUCUGUCAAAUUGCUGAGAAAUGUUAAUAAUGGAAUAUUUUCACUUUAUGUUAUUCAAAAUAAUACUUGAAUGUUGAAUGUUUGUGUAUUUUCGCAGACCUUGAGGUGUGCCGAUUUUGUUGUGAAAGAGCCUAUGGUGAUUGGGCACGAGUGUGCUGGGGUCAUAGAGAAGGUGGGAAGCGAGGUGAAGACUUUGGUGCCCGGUGACCAUGUGGCCCUGGAACCCGGGAUCAGCUGCUGGCGAUGUGAUCACUGCAAAGGAGGUCGAUACAAUUUGUGUCCAGAGAUGAAAUUUUUUGCAACUCCGCCCGUUCAUGGUUCCCUGGCUAAUCAGGUUGAUUGAAAAUUUACAUUUUGAGCUAAGGUCUAGAGGACUAUGAGAUGACAAAUAUGGUAGACUGACUUUAACACAGUUUAUGCCCUUAUAAAUUUCAGUAAUGAUAUACUUACUACAGUUUUUUUGUUUUUUUUUUUAAUUCUACUACGGUUAGUAUACCAUCACUACAGAACAAAAAAAUUUCAUUACAAGAUAAAAUAAAAUUCCACUGUAAGACAAAUUUUUUUCUUUCUCUUACUGAUUUUGUGCUAACUUUUAUACAUACAUUAUUAUUCUAUAAAUUUUACUGUUUGAUUUUUUUUAGUGUAUUGGAUUAUUACUACAAUAUGAUCUAUGCCCUUGUGAAUUCUGUUGCAUAAAUAGUGGUGUCACUUUACCUGUUCUUCUAAAGGCAUACCGGUUACUGUCAGUUGUGUAGUUCCCAUUUGAUCUUCUGUCCCUCUCGUCGUAUAUUUUUUUAUCUGGCAAUGAUUGUUGAUUCCUUUUAUUUGAAAUGAAAUUGGCUGCUAUCAAAAUUGAUCGGCUACUUGACACAAUGACUAAGAUGCAUUCUCUUGUGUAUAAUAGGUGGUGCAUCCUGCAGACCUAUGUUUUAAGCUGCCCGACAAUGUUAGCCUGGAGGAAGGGGCUAUGUGUGAGCCCUUGAGUGUUGGUGUUCAUGCCUGCCGCCGUGCCAAUAUCGGUCCUGAGACAAAUGUGCUUAUCAUGGGAGCAGGGCCCAUAGGACUUGUCACAAUGCUAGGAGCUCGUGCUUUUGGAGCUCCUAGAAUUGUCAUUGUGGAUGUGGAUGACUAUCGUUUAUCUGUUGCAAAGGAACUUGGUGCAGAUAAUAUUGUUAAAGUUUCAACAAAUUUGCAGGUAUGUUACUGCCCAUUGCCCAGCAGAAGAGUUUAGAAAAGUAAAAGACAUCUCAAAAUCUUCAUGCUCACAAUCCUUCCCUUUCUCUUAAUCAUCAUAACAACAUGUUCUGUUCAACCAACUCUGUUGCAUUAAUACCUUGUUUCAACUUCCUCAGUUCAUUUUUGUUCUCAGUACCUUUUUGUUCUCUGUUUGAAAGUUGACCACUCUAAUCUGCAUUAUUCUUGUUAUCAGAGUAGAGGUGAGCUUGAGCUUUGGUUCGUUUGAAAAUUUUUCAUGUGCUCCUCACGCUUGUUUUUUCUGUUUGAAUAAACCGCUAUGCGUCGAGUAUUUUGCAGGAUAUAGCUGAAGAAGUGGAAAAGAUAGAUAAAGCCAUGGGGACAGGAAUAGAUGUGAGCUUUGAUUGUGCAGGCUUUAACAAAACCAUGUCAACAGCACUGAGUGCUACUCGUGCAGGUGGUAAAGUUUGCCUCGUGGGGAUGGGUCAUCAUGAAAUGACUGUCCCACUCACUCCAGCUGCUGCAAGGUACUUGAUUUAUGGUUUUCUUUUUCAUUUUUUUAUUUAUUGUUUUGGGCUACUCCGUUAUUUACUUUAAGUUUUUAAUUAGUUUCUUGAAAUCUGAAUAAAUUUGAAUUAGUUUGAAUUCAUAAUAUAAUUGAAUAUUUGAAUCUUAAUGAUAUAUUUGUUUUUUUUUUCUGAAUCGCAAAAAAUAAAUUUUAAGUUUUUUUCCUAAAAAAAUAAAAAAACUAAUAUUUUUACAUUUAUACCCCUACAAAUUAUAAAUGUUAAACAAAUAAUAAACAUAUCAAAAAAUAUAAAUAAGAUAAUAUAUUAUCAUAACAUAAAUCAUAUUCAAUUGAAUACAACUCUUUAAUAUUUUAUAUUAUAUAUAUUAAUCAAUUUUAUUAUAGUUUAUGAUGUUUUUAUAUGAAAAAUAUUCAUAAAAAAUUAUGAAAAUAAAUAAUGCUAAUUUGAAGAAAAUAAAAAGAAAAAAUAAUAAUAAUCUACCACUAUAUAUUAUCACAAGUUAUACAAAGAUGGGUAAUGAUGUUAAUUAUUAAAUUUUAUUCAGGUAAAGAUGAAAAUUAAUUAAGGAAAUAGGGAUAUUUUAAAAAAAAAAAACUUGCAAUGAUACCGAUAAGACUUUUUAAAUUAAGCAAAAAAGAUAAAAAAAAUUAACUUAAUAACUUGAUGAAUUAAUGGCUAAAAUUUUUUAUUAAGUUGAAAAAAUAAAAAGACUUAAUGACUUAAUUAAUUAAAAUUAAAUUAAUUAAGUCAAGUCAAAAAAGUAAAUGACCCGUAAGCCUCUAAAAUGUAAAUAAAAAAAUAACACAAAAUUUCGUGGGCGGAGUCAUUUCAUUGUUGGAUUGGGAACAAAUGCAUUUAAGAAAUGAGAGAAUCAAGGAUACCUACCAGAAUGACCAUAAAACCAUCAUUUUUAAGAACAUGUAAAAUGGUAAACAAAAGCUGUUGAAUAAAAGUUGGAAUGUUCUAGAAUCAAUAGACUUGGAAGAAGAAUGUAAACAAAUUCUUGUGCUUGGGUUGUAUGUUUUCCAAUAGAACACGAUGGCAUGUCAAGAACAACUUUCACAAACCAUCUUGUAUGUUGUUUCUGUUUAAUGACUUUUUCUUUCCUUUUCUGGAAACAUAUGUUUAAUGACUUCUUAAGCUGAAUAACACGUUUCGGCUUUUAAUUGGACUAAAAUCCGUCUGAACCUUUUACCCUUAAAUUUAUGAGCAUAAUUGUGAACGCAGGGAGGUGGAUGUGGUGGGGGUGUUUCGCUACAAGAACACCUGGCCACUGUGUCUGGAGUUCCCUAGAAGCGGAAAGAUUGAUGUAAAGCCCCUUGUCACGCAUAGGUUUGGUUUCUCCCAGAAGGAAGUGGAAGAGGCCUUUGAAACAAGUGCUCGUGGUGGUACUGCAAUCAAGGUCAUGUUUAAUCUGUAAAAUACAACGUAAAGUAAACGUUUGGGCAAAAGAUGAAAUAAAAUGGAAUUGUCGCCGAGUAAUAUGAAUCAAAGUGUAGCAUAUUACUUUAUUUCUAUCUAUUACAAAAUAAAAUUCAGAUUUCUCAAGUUUUUUGUUCUUUAUUGUCUGCUCUGUGCUAUAUUUUCUUCAUCCUUUUGUGUAUGCUUAUUUGAAAGCCAAUCAAUAGGUUUCCUGGUUAACAGAUGAUUACCCUGCAAGACAUUUCAGUCACCACUUUCGUUCAGCCGUGAGUUGUGUUUGCUGUAGACAACUGCAGAGUAAUUUCAACAUAGCCGAACUCUUUCCUUUAACCUUCUUAACCUUUUUUAAAAGAUAAAACAAUUCUUUCAAACCAUUUUGCAAAAUUAGCCACCACUCACAUACAUGAAGUUGAUUUUGAUUCCUUUAUGAAGAUACAAUUAUUGCAAGGUUUCGAUUUCGGGGUCCAUAAAUUCUGAAAAAAACAAAAUUAACAAACAACAAACGGUUCUGAAACCGAUAAAUUCUCUCCACGUAAGCACGUUAUCCCGUUGAAAAAAGAAACCAUAAUCUCUAUCACAAAUUUUUUAAAACUGUCAUUAGUAAUUGGAUUUAUCCUUAAAUAAAAAUGAGUCAGAUGAAAACAGAAAUCAAUCAUCUACACGGAUAAAUAAAAAGAACACUUGAUGUUAUGCCUCACUUGUCAUUAAAUAUUCCUGCGACCGAAUCAAAUCAUAUCCCAUAUCCAGAAUCAGAUAGUGUACAGAGUGAAGUCUCUGCUGUACACUUGUGUUUUUGAAGGGUGAAAAGCAAAUAUGGGCAAAGGAGGGAUGUCACAAGGAGAAAAGAAGGAUGGAGAAGAAGUUAACAUGGCAGCUUGGCUUAUGGGUGUCAACACCCUCAAGAUUCAGCCUUUUGAGCUUCCUUCUCUGGGUAUUUUGAUCUUUCUUUCAUUUCAGUCUUGUAUCUUAGAAGUGUUAUGGAAUUUGUUUAUUGGUUGAAGAUAUGAACUUUUGAUAGAUUGAUAGUGUUGGGUGCAAGCGGAAGUGCAGAAAUUUUUUUUAUUUAAGAACAGAGUAUUUUGCUGGAAAUUACUGAAACUUUAUUGCUUAAUUCAUUUUUUCGUUUCUCUCUUACUUUUCAUACAACCAGAGUUCUAUAUUUAUAUGCAUUAUAGACAACUCUAGAGAUUACAUUAAUCAUGCUUUACAUUUCCAAAGCCACAUUGCAAACAUCAAUUCUACCCUUUACUUCACGUUGAAAAACAAACCAAAUAACCCUUCAAACUUCUUGCUCAAUUUACUAGAUUACUAAUUAUAUCUCAACAGAUAGAUAUCUAAAAAGAGAUCUUUGGUUGAAAAACAAUAAAAACACAUCUUCCAAUGCAGCUUAUCUCAUACCUCUUACAAUUGAAUUAACUAUCACUCACAAUUAAUGUAAUUCAAACUGAUUGUUUUAACAUCUUUGUUUGUUAUUUGUAAACUGUAGGACCAUAUGAUGUUUUAGUCAGGAUGAAAGCCGUUGGUAUUUGUGGAAGUGAUGUGCAUUAUCUCAAGGUAUUUUUGUUUAUUCCUCUUCAACUUCCUUUAAAUUAUUAUUAUUAUUAUUAUUAUUAUGGCAAUUAAUCUGUCAAAUUGCUGAGAAAUGUUAAUAAUGGAAUAUUUUCACUUUAUGUUAUUCAAAAUAAUACUUGAAUGUUGAAUGUUUGUGUAUUUUCGCAGACCUUGAGGUGUGCCGAUUUUGUUGUGAAAGAGCCUAUGGUGAUUGGGCACGAGUGUGCUGGGGUCAUAGAGAAGGUGGGAAGCGAGGUGAAGACUUUGGUGCCCGGUGACCGUGUGGCCCUGGAACCAGGGAUCAGCUGCUGGUGAUGUGAUCACUGAAAAGGAGGUCGAUACAAUUUGUGUCCAGAGAUGAAAUUUUUUGCAACUCCGCCAGUUCAUGGUUUUCUGGCUAAUCAGGUUGAUUGAAAAUUUACAUUUUGAACUAAGUUCUAUAGGACUAUGAGAUGAGAAAUAUGGUAGACUGACUUUAACACAGUUUAUGCCCUUAUAAAUUUCAGUAAUGAUAUACUUAGUAUGGUAAGUAUACCAUCACUACAGAACAAAAAAAUUUGAUUACAAGAUAAAAGAAAAUUCCAUUGUAAGACAAUUUUUUUUUUUUUUGUUUUCCCUUACAGAUUUUGUACUAAUAAUUAUACAUACAUUAUUAUUCUAUAAAUUUUACUGUUUGAGAUUUUUUAGUGUCUUAGAUUAUUACUACAAUACGAUCUAUGCCCUUGUGAAUUCUGUUGCAUAAAUAGUGGUGUCACUUUACCUGUUCUUCUAAAAACAUACUGGUUACUGUCAGUUGUGUAGUUCCCAUUUGAUCUUCUGUUCCCUCUUGUCAUAGAUAUUUUAUCUGGAAAUGAUUGUUGAUUCCUUUUAUUUGAAAUGAAAUUGACUGCUAUCAAAAUUGAUCGGCUGCUUGACAUAAUGACUAAGAUGCAUUUCUUGUGUAUAAUAGGUGGUGCAUCCUGCAGACCUAUGUUAUAAGCUUCCGGACAAUGUGAGCCUGGAGGAAGGGGCUAUGUGUGAGCCCUUUAGUGUUGGUGUUCAUGCUUGCCGCCGUGCCAAUAUCGGUCCUGAGACAAAUGUGCUUAUCAUGGGUGCAGGGCCCAUAGGACUUGUCACAAUGCUAGCAGCUCGUGCUUUUCGAGCUCCUAGAAUUGUCAUUGUGGAUGUGGAUGACUAUCGUUUAUCUGUUGCAAAGGAAAUUGGUGCAGAUAAUAUUGUUAAAGUUUCAACAAAUUUGCAGGUAUAUUACUGCUCAUUUCCCAGCAGAAGAGUUUAGAAAAGUAAAAGACAUCUCAAAAUCUUCAUGCUCACAAUCCUUCCCUUUCGGCUUUCUAUUAAUCAUCAUAACAACAUGUUUUGUUCAACCAACUCUGUUGCAUUAAGACCUUGUUCUAACUUCCUCAGUUCAUUUUUGUUCUCAGUACCUUUUGUUUUCUGUUUGAAAGUUGACAACUCUAAUCUGCAUUAUUCUUGUUAUCAGAGUAGAGGUGAGCUUGAGCUUUGGUUCGUUUGAAACCUGUUCAUGUGCUCCUCACCCUUGUUUUUUCUGCUUGAAUAAACCGCUAUGCAUCGAGUAUUUUGCAGGAUAUAGCUGAAGAAGUGGAAAAGAUACAGAAAGCCAUGGGGACAGGAAUAGAUGUGAUCUUUGAUUGUGCAGGCCUUAACAAAACCAUGUCAACAGCACUGGGAGCCACUCGUGCAGGUGGUAAAGUUUGCCUCGUGGGGAUGGGUCAUCAUGAUAUGACUGUCCCACUCACUCCAGCUGCUGCAAAGUAAUUGAUUUACGGUUUUCUUUUCCUUUUUUUUCUUGUUUUGGGCUACUCCGUUAUUUACUUUAGGAAAAUGCUAUAUACCCGGGUCAAACCCCAAAACUAAUUCAAACAACACUGUUUGAUCUUUUUUUCUUUUUCUUUUCAUUCACCUUAAAACGACUCCGUUUUGUUUAGCUAAUGUCAGCCUUAAUUGCUCUCUCUUCAUCUUCGUUUCAACGACAAAAUCGAUUUGGCUUAGACAAAACCGAUUUCAAGAACAUCAGCAACAAAACCGAUUUGGCAAAACCUUUAAGCUUUUAUCUUCCUUCUAGGUGAUUGGAUUUGGCUUAGAUAAGGAAAAAAGGAAAUCUUGAACAAGGUGGCUGCUAGGCGUGAUGGUGGUGCUAAUGGCUAGGUAUGCGUGAUGGUGGCUGCCAGUUGUGGAUCGCGAACGGCUGUGAAACGAAGGGGAAGAUAAAGCAGUUGUUUUACAGAGACAUGGAAGGCGAAUGGCUGGGAGACAAAGAGGAAGAGAAAGCAAUUUUGGGCCGUCGUUGCUUUUGCCUUAACUAAGCCAAAAUGACGUCGUUUUAGGGAGAAUGAAAGGUAAAAAAAAAGAUGAAACAACGUCGUUUGCAUUAGUUUUGGAGUUUGACUCGGGGUAAAUAGCAACGCUAUUUACUUUAAGUUUCUAGUUAGUUUCAGCAAAUUCACUUUAAGAUCACUUUUUUUUUUAAAUAUGAGAAAAUUUGAAUUAGUGAAAUGUUUUUUUUAUCUGAAUUGCUAAAAAUAAAUUUUAAAUUAUUUUUUUAACCUAAAAAAAAUAUAAAAACUAAUAUUUUUACAUUUAUAUCCUUACAAAUUAUAAAUGUUAAACAAAUAAUAAACAUAUCGAAAAAUAUAAAUAAGAUAAUAUAUUAUUAUAACAUAAAUCAUAUUCAGUUGAAUACAACUCUUUAAUAUUUUAUAUUAAAUAUGUUAAUCAAAUUUAUUAUAGUUUAUGAUGUCUUUAUAUGAAAAAUAUUCAUAAAAAAUUAUGAAGAUAAAUAAUGCUAAUUUGAAGAAAAUAAAAAGAUGAAAAUAAUAAUAAUCUACCACUAUAUAUUAUCACAAGUUAUAUAGAGAUGAGUAAUAAUGCUAAUUAUUAAAUUUUAUUCAAGAAAUGAUGAAAAUUAAUUAGUGAGAUAUGAAUAUUUUAGAAAAUAUCUUUUAAUGGUACCAUUAAAACUUUUUAUAUUAAGCAAAAAAAGGUAAAAAAAAAAUAUUAGUUUAAUAACUUAAUGACUUAAUGGCUGAAAUUUUUCAUUAAGUUGAAAAAAAAAAUAGAUUUAAUGACUUAAUUGAUUAAAAUUAAGUCAAUUAAGUCAAGUCAAAAAAGCAAACGACCACUAAGUCUCUAAAAUGCAAAAAAAAAAAAAAACACAAAAUUCGUGGGAGGGGCAUUUCAUUGUUGGAUUUGGGAACAAAUGGAUUUAAAAAAUGAGAGAAUAAAAGUUGAAUACAAUUACCAAAAAGAUCAUAAAGCCAUCAUUUUUAAGAACAUGUAAAAUAUUAAACAAAAAUUGUUGAAUAAAAGUUGGAAUGUUCUAGAAUCAAUAGACUUGGAAGAAGAAUGUAAACAAAUUCUUGUGCUUGGGUUGUAUGUUAUCUAAUAGAACACGAUGGCAUGUCAAGAACAACCUUCACAAACCAUCUUGUAUAUUGUUUCUAUUUAAUGACUGUUUUUCCUUUCCUUUUCUCGAAACAUAUGUUUAAUGACUUCUUAAGCUGAAUAACACGUUUCAGCUUUUAAUUGGACUAAAAUCCGUCUGAGUGUAGUGACUCUAAAAACACAUCUUCUUAGUUAAAAAAAAAAAUCAUUUUCUUUUUCUAUCGUUUUAAGUGUAACCUUUCUAAUUAGUUUUUCUGCAUCAUUUUCACCUUUCUGCAUGCAUAUUUUCUUUUCAUGUUUAGAAUAGGUUAGGGGGUAUAAUGUUGUUUGAAAAAGAAAAUUUGUGAUUUUUUUUAACAUUGGAUGACACGAUGACUUUCAAAUUUUAGUAUUUGUAUUAUCUUUGGUCUUAAGUAAUGUUACGCCAUGUUUUCUACUCUACAUGUUGAUGUUGGAGACAAAUAUGAGUUGCUUGAAGGAAUGUACAUGUCAUAAUAAAUACCAAGUGAGUUUUUUAGCCUGUCAUUUUUCUUGGAGAGUAAUCAUUUUUGCCCAUUCUUCAUACAGCUUAGCAGUUUAUUAUUUUAUACAUGAUCUCUAGAUUUCCUUUGAGUCAAUCCUCUAAAAAAAAAAGAAAAAAAAAUGUGUUACUACAUUUGAAGGUCCAUCUAAUUAGUAGAUAUUGAAGAUUAUUUAGAGCCCUAAAAGACGAUGGAAAUACCAUCUUUGACCCGUUUGAGCUUUUCUAGCCAUCCCUUUUGUAAAAUAUCCAUAGUUAGCCCUUUUAAGCCUUUUAUUUAAUAAAAAAAUUUCUUUAUCAACUUAUCAUCUUGACCCACUUCGAUUUGAUGUCUUACAAAUUCCAUCACAUAUUCAUAUUUGAGAAAAAUGUAAAUAAUUAUCUUGUUCAGUAAAGUUGUGCCAUACAAAAAAAAAAAAACAAAAAUAAAAAAUUUGUUUCAAAAAAAAGGAAAAAAAAAAAAAGAGAAAAAAUUAAUAACAAUAAUAAUAAAUAAGCGAAAUGCACCUUGUAAUUUCCAAAAGAUCUAUUCUUUUUCUCAAACAUAUAUUUUGUUUUCCUUAUUUUCCCUCCUUUGUUAGCUAUAUCCUUAGCCUACGUUGAUUUUAGGGAUCUAUAGUCUGAAGUAGAAACUAGUUAUAUGGGCUAAAAGGAUGUAGUGAUGCAUAUAUAAAAAAAUAGAAAAAAAAAAAAAUUGGGUUGACUAGAAUUUUGUUAGAGUUAAGAUGUACUUUUAUUUUAUUGCUAUUAUUAGUCUGAUUGAAUAAACACGAGUAUUUUAAAAAAAAAUCAAUUUGGGUUUGAAUUUUGUUUUCGCUUAAUUUGCUAGGAACUAGCAAUAAGCUGGUUGGGGGGUGUGUUGAGUGUUAGAAAGUAUACAUUUAUAAAGAAGAAAAUUGUUAUUUUACACUUCAAGUUUCACUAACAUUCGUACUUUUAUGUAUUUAAGUCUCUUGUGAUCUAAUUAUGUGUGUUGUAUUAUAAUUAAGUAUUUUAUGUAUUUUAGGGGUAUUAUGGUCAUUUCAUUAUGAACGAGAGAUCAGGCAGCAAAACAGACAUCACUUUUGAACUCAGGACAAUCGAAAACCUUAGGAGGAGCAUAAAUGGAAAAAUGGCACUGUUCACAUAUACGGUGCUGUCCAUGUUUUUGUUCACGACGCUGUUCACAUAUACGGGAUGAUGAUGUGGCAUUGACCGAUCAGUGUCACAAUCCUAUUGGACUAAAAUUCUUAUGUACUGUUGAUUGGUGACGUGGCAGCACGUUAGUGGAUAAAAAAUUAUGCUUACGGUAUAUGCAUAUACACGGAACUAUUUACAACCAAACCUCGUCACUAUUCAAGCCGCCUCACUGUUCAUACCGCGUCACUAUUCAAACCGCGUGAUCAAACUGCAUAUUGUUGACUGAUGACGUGGCGCAAUCCUGAGCGUCCAAAAUAUUUUUAAUUCGAUGGCCAUGAUUUACUCAGUGUAUCUAUAAAAAGGGGGCUCCCCCCUAAUUUGGCACCCCUGAAUUUAUUUUUGAGUUUCAUUUCUGUAAUUCCUUCUCCAUCUUGUAUUUUCUACGUAUUUUAAUAAAUUCCUAUUUUAAUUUAAAUUUUAGGAUAAUCUAAAUCACUUCCAUCACAAAUCUAAUCGCCCACUUAGAAAAUUAACUCUACACACAAUUAAAAUACACCUCCUCGUGGGAUCGACACUCGUCACCAUUAAUCUAUUCUACAAUAGAUUUCUGCACUUGCGAGUUCAAUAAAAUUUGCACAGUAGAUAUCAGGUCGCUUUAUUUCUUAAUUAUGUAGCUCCUCCUUCAAGUUCUAGCAAGUUUUCAUAUUGGUGGAAGUUCAUUUGGGCAUUGUCCAUUUCUAGCAAAUUUAAGUUACUUUUCUGGCGAGCACUCCAUGAAAUCCUUCCCACCUCUUGCAAUGUUUUCAAAUGUAACCUCUUGUAACCUUUUCAAAUGACUUCUGUAAAUUGAGUACGAUGUGUAUGGAUGGGUCAAAAUAGGUUACUUUGAACUUUUAGAGUCAGUUUGGUAAUACUGCAACUUUUAAAAUAAUUACUGUUAACGGUGUUGUAAAAAUAAUCAGCUAUGAAGAGAAUUAGUUGAAUGGUUGGUAAAAUUUAUUUUUAAAAAUAUUGCUAGUUUUAAAAACAGUCCUAUCUAUUUAGUAAAUCUUAUUGUUAAGCUACUAUAGAAUGUAAAUGACUAGAUUAGGGCAAAAUAUUGAAUAAAAUUUAUUUAUACAUUUAUAAACUUAAAUAUAAAAUAUUUUUUAUUACGUAUAUAGUAAAUUAAUAACUAAAAUAAAUAUUUUAUAUUAUUUUGAGAAUCAAUUUUUUGUUACUUUUCAAAAUCUAUUAUAGGAUAUGGUGAUUUUGCCAAAAAGAUUUCUAAAAAAAUUUAUUAAACACCAAAAUUAUCUUUUAUUUUAAAUCCCCCAAAAGCAAUCUUACUAUAUCAGAAGUAAUUUGAGAAAGAGUUAGGGCUGAUGUGAGUAUUUUCACCUAAAGUUUGUAAAUCCAUGAUAUUUCUUUACCUUCACUUUCUAGUAUGUCAACUAUUAUUUGUGCGUAUGUUUAGCUUUUCAAAAUCACUUAUGAGUUAUGGCCUCCCAAAAGUAAUUUUACUAUAUUAGUAGUAAUUCGUGAAAGGAUUGGGGCUGAUGUGAGUAUUUUUCCCUAAAGCUUAUACAUUAAUAAGUAUUUUUCCCUAAAGCUUAUUCAUUAAGCCAUGAUAUUUCUUUGCCUUUACUUUCUGAUAGGUUGACUAUCAUUUGUGUCUAUGGCUCAUAACAUUCUUUUCUGGAAUAUUUUCCAGCUAUCUAUUAGAUGCUGAAAAUUCUUGUGAGUCAUAUUCAAACUAAAAUUCUUAUAUGGAGUUGCUGGCACUUAUACAAAGUGUAUUUUCAUGGAAGAACUUAGUGCAAAAGAAAGUUUGUUGGACAUUUUGUACCCAAGGUCUAGUUAAUUUUUCUGAGUUACUAUAAAGGUUUCAUCAAAUUUCUAUUUUAUUUUUCCAAUGAAUUUAAUUUUUCCUCUGUCUGUGCAUAAUACGAACAAGAGGACUUUAGAUGAGGGUAUCCAGAUCCUAAUUUGACUUAAGCAAAAAGAAUUGGUUGCUCACAUUGAAUUUUGGGUAAACCAAACACUGAAGAUGAACAACCAUAAUUUGCUACUAUUGAUGUUGUUGCAGAUCAUAACCUAGCCACUAGCUUCCUAUAUAGAUACUAAACUAGUACAAACCCUGUUAGAUUUAGGUGCCCCAUUAUGGGCUGACUUUUAUCCAACUUGAGAGAUAAGAUAAUCUUACAAUUUAUCUAGGAUUCUUAUAAGAUAAACUUAAUGUUUUAUCUAAAUCCUAAUCAUAUAAGUUGUGGCUUAUUCAAAUAACUCUAGAAAGUUUAUUUAAAUUAAAUUACAUUUAUUGUACUAUAUAAGCACUACAUGGGUGGGUGCAAAUACGUAUAAUAAUAAUAAUAAGAAUCAGAGUACAUCAUAAAGUGAGUGAGAGAAAAGAGAAAAUGCAGUGGGUUCUUACUUCAUGAAUUGAGGGAAUUUUCUAACCACGUGAUUGUCCUCCAACCAUCAGUGACAUAAACUCAUUAAGAUCCAUUUGUGAAGGUUCCAGUAAUCAGUUCCUCUUCGUAGCGAUCUGUUCGUGAAGGUUCUAGGAGAUUGGAAGGAAUCUAUUAUUUAUUUCCGCAGAUCCUUGACUAUUUGUUUCUGCAUCAACCAACAAGGUAUGAAUUUGGUUGAUAAAAUAAAAUUGCAUUAUUGAUUGAGGAAAUCAACAUUAGUAUCAUAGCUUGUGUAGCUUAUGUCUUGAUCUUGAGUGCUUAUGUAUGCUGAUAUGCCAUGUUCUUCUAUGAAAAUUUGUUUCUCGCUCUAAAAUCACACAUUAAUGGUAUAUGAUGAAAUACAUACUGUUAAAGAAUGAAAUCCGGACUAUAAGUACAUGAACAUACAUGGAAUAUAUCUAGAAUCCCAUUUGAUCUAAUAUGCUCUUAAGUGAUAAAUAAAUUGAAACUCUAAGUUAUGAACCCGAAUGCUUAUUUUGCUCAUAAAAUUUUUUAUGUUCAUUCAUUCUCUACAAUUUGGUAUCAUUAGAAAGGUCUUUUAAUUAUCUUUACAAUGGUAUAUCAUGUGCAUUAUUUGGCCUUGUAAAUUGAGAGAACGAAGUAUUUGAAUUUCUGGUUCGAAAUUUGAAAUUUUUGUUCAAAUUGAAGAAGAUAAAUAGUAUUCUAUGUGCAAUCUCACUCUCGGGUAUGAUGUGUAAGCUCCAUUUGUACACUAAAAAAAAUUUAAGACCAGAUUUGAAUUCAAGAUGUCAAAUAAGGUCAGUAGGUUAGAAAAUUGAGAGCAAAAUGUGCCCGGAAGCUGGAGCAUGUGUCACACGCGCCAAGAAAGAGAGUUAAGCCGAAUAUGUAAUCGGCUUGGUAGUAAACUGGCUUCGUCAGAGCCGCGCGAACCAGAUCAGACCGAACCAAGUGUCAGCGCUAGUUAGCGUGCCAAGCGUGGCCACAUUGGUCCACGCGUGACAGUAGCGCGCAGCGCACGUCCAACCUUCCUGACCUCGGAUUGCAAUAUUGUGUUACGGCAACUGCACGAGAAUUCAAUUUCCUAUUUUUCUGUAUUUUAAAAUUAAAAUUUUGUUUCUAUUUUUAAUUAUUUUAUUUUAUUUUAUUUUUCUAACAUACUUGAAUUUAGAAAUAAAAAUAGUUUUAUAGAAAUUAAAUUCACACAAUAUGAAUCUUAAUUGUAAAGAAUGUCAUAUCUAGUCGGAGGAAAUAUAAAAUACUUAAAAUAUUAUGAGGAUUAUUAAAGUUUGACGUAGUAAUGUGAAUUUAUGCAUGUCUAGGAAAAUUCUAUCAAAAUGACAAUAAAAGUCUAAGAAAAUGAGGUACUUAAGUGGGACUAUCUUAUCCCUACCUCUUUCUUGAGAAUUUUCCUAAUGCUUAUUCACUUGAAAAUAUGCAUGAAGGCUUUUUUAUCCCUCAAAACUAAAAUGAAAAGUUUUAUUAUUAAAAUAAUAAAAGGAUUAAUAAUAAUAGAAUUAAUAUUUUUUGCACAAAAGGACUAAAUGAUGAUGAUUUAAUUAUUUGGGAAGGAUGAUUAUUAGGAGCUUGGAUGAAUUUUCGAUUCUAAUCCUUGUAUUAAAUAAUCAUGUUGAGUCUUGUGUUUAUGACAAAAUUAUAAAUGUGUAUAAGAAUCAUGCUAAUUAACGUUUUUUCUCUAUGUUUUAUUGUGGCUAUAAGAAAUGGCAUCUUCAAAGAAUAUCGUGGCCGAAUUGAAUAAAGGAGAAAAAUUGAACGGUGACAAUUAUGACAUUUGGCACCAAAAGGUUCAAUAUGUUCUCAAUGAACAAGAGACUCUUGAGACUCUCAAUACAGUAAUUAAGCUGAGGAGCUUGAGAGCAGUCUUUCUGAACAAUACAAUAAGGAUCUUGAGGCUUAUCCGUCUUGGAAAAGGAAGAACAACAGUGCUCGCAUUAUGUUGCUGAGUGUUGGUAUAAAUUUAAAUGCUAUUGGUGUCUAUGUGCAAAUGUACACAAUAAGUAAUAUAAUUAUAAGUAUUCAAGAUCAUUUCCACAGGGAUUGAUGUUAUUGAAAUUGCUACAACAAUCUUAACAGUGCAGUUUGCCUUAAAUGAAAAUAAAUUAACAAUUAAAUUAAUAAAUUGUGUAAUAAAAUGCAAUAAAUAAAUAUGCAGAAAAGAAAAACUUUAACGUCACACACACAAGGAUAAAAUCAAUAGGAAUGAAGUAGUUGAGUGAUUAAACUCUCUUAAUGGUUUUGAUUAUUUCUUGUAAUUCUAAGUUCAGUUGCUAUAGCAUCUGCUACAGUAUUGGGUAGAAUCAUUAUGUAUCAUCAGCUAGCGCAUGUUGGAUGUCUUACAUCUAUAUACAACCUAACAAUGACCAAUUGUUAUACCAACAUAAGAUAUAUCAUUGCAUGUUUAAGGUUUAUUUACCCUACAAGGUGAAUCCUUAUGUCUAGUUCAUCACUAAUUUUAGAUUAAGUAUGACCCUUUUGGAAUUAAGUUAAACUCAACUCAGGAAGCCCAAUCCAAAAUCAAGUAUUGUUCUGAUAUGUUCCACUAAGAUAGGCCUUUUUGUACUCUUUCUUAGCUUGUAUCAUUAUGGGUGGUCAGCCGAAAUAAUGAAUGUAAAUAAGCUUUACUAAAAUAAAAUGCUAUAGCAAACACGCAACAACAUAUAAAUCCAGUCGAUAGCCCAUUAAGAUUAUUUAUCACUCAACCACAAGUAAAUUUAGUUCAUAGUUUGUGAAAGGAAAGUAAACAACAAAGUUUAAGCCAUCGAAUACUUCUUCAUGAUCAAAGAAUAAACAAGCAAACAAGAAAUAAUAAGAAAGAUUGAAUUCCAAUUGAUUCCCACAAAUUUUCCACUGAUUGCAGCCUUGAUUCUUGCUCUUGAAUUCUAUUUUUUCUUUGUUUCUUUUCGGUUUUUGAUCUUAGUUGACAACCCCUUCUUUUCCUUUGCAUGUAUCCUUCCUUUAUAGCUGAAAACUAGGGUAAAUUAAAGUCUAGGGCGUGCAUAUUCCAGAUUAGGAAACUACAGAUCACAAUCUGAUAAGUGCCUCGAGCAAAAUCUUCUCUGUUGUUGUUCCAGGAUUAUUACAACAAUUGAUGCUACAACAACCACUACAGCAUCUACAUUGUUUCAUAUUUGUUUUAAUUUUUUCUAUAACCAAGUCCUGUUCCAUUUUUUGCAAGCCUAUUGCCACAACAUCCUUCCCAUGAAAUUUGAACUUCCGGUUACCUACAAUUAUGCAUAUGUUUUAAGUACACGACUUUUGAAAUCAAACAAACUUUUAUUAAACUUAAACUAAAAUGAAUGUUAAUGUAAACUAUCAUUAAAAUGCACUAAAACACAUCAAUUACUCUCUAAGUAAUCUUGAUUUGACCCUAAAAGUAUCAUGAUAACUCUCAUUUCAUAGAGUUAUCACUGAGCUGCAUGCAAGAUGACCUUAUGUGUAAGUUCGAAGAGUAUUGUAUGCCUCAUGAAAUGUAGCUUGAAUGAAAAGUUAGGUGGUACUUCGACCACUAAAUAAAAAGGGCUCAACAUAAAAAAUGAUGGACAUGUAUUGACUGAUGAGCAAUAUGUUCAGGCAAUCAUACGAUCGCUUCCUAAUAAUUAGGAAUAUAUGAGAGUUAACAUGGCUCAUAAUUAUAGCAUUAAGACAUUUAAUGAUAUCAAGUGUCAUUUGGAACUAGAAAGCUUCUAGCCAACUCUAUAUGGCUAACUCUAAGCCGUAGAAAGCUUUGGGCUUCAAGCGCAAAAAAAGAAGGAAUACUUUUCAAAGGAAAAAGAGAAUUGUGACAGCUCAAGGGAACCCUAAUAAUAGAAAGUGCAUGAAAGGAAAGCGCGUUGGAUAUAAGAAAGACAAGACUAAAAUGAAUUGUUAUAAUUGUGGCAAAUUAGGCCACUUUGCUCGUGAAUGCACUGAGCCAAAAAGGUACCAUUCAUCUCCAUAAAUUUAUGUUCUAACUAUGUGAUAAAUUUUAUUUUUUUAACUGAAUCUCGUCCUUCAAGGACUGUAGACUCAGGACCAACAGACCACAUAGCUGAAGAGCGUGGAGCAUUUGUGAAGUAUCGUCAAAUUAAUCAAGGAACAAAAUGGUAUACGUGGGUAACAACUCAAGGGUUGAGGCAAAAGGAAUUGACACUUGCAAGUUAGAGUUGCGUGGUGGCCAAAUAUUUUAUCUCCAUGAUGUUCUUUAUACUCUAAACAUCCAAUAAAACUUAGUCUCUGUUACUGUUCUUCUUAUGAUGGGAUAUCAAUUACAAUUUUAUAGUGCUAGUUUAAAGAUUGUUCUUAAUUCAACUCUAGUUGCUGGUGGUUAUUUAUUAGAUGGUUUUCCUCUUUUGGAUACUAAUUAUUAUGAUUCCAAUAAUAAUUGUUUUUUGGUAAAUGCAUUUUCCAAUGUGGAUAUAAAUACUUGGCAUGCUAUACUAGGACAUGUAGGGCAAGAAAGAAUGAAUAGAUUAGUUAGAGAAAGCUUAUUAGGCUCACUCGCCAAUAUUGACUUGCCUAUUUGUGAAAGUUGUCUAGCUGGAAAAGCAACUAGAAAACCAUUUGGCAAAGCUACUAGAGCUGAAAGUCCAUUGUAAAUAGUCCAUUUUGACAUUCGUGGACCAAUGAGUGUGAGGGCUAAAUAUGGAACCUUGUAUUUUUAUCACAUUUAUUAAUGACUACUUACGCUUUGGUCAUGUUUAUUUGAUUUCUCAUAAAUCUGAAGCAUUGGAUUGCUUUAGAUCAUACUUGAAUUUAGUAGAGAAUCAAUUAGAAAAAAUAUCAAAGUCUUAAGAACAUAUCGUGGGUGUGAAUACCUUUUAAAGCAGUUCAAGGAAUUGUGCAAUAAUAAAGGUAUUGAGAAACAACUAACUAUUCUAAGGACUCCACAACAAAAUGGUGUUGCAGAAAUGAGGAAUAGAACAUUACUCGAGAUGGUUAGGUCUAUGAUGGCAUUAUUGACUGCCAUUUAUGUACUUAAUUGAGUUCCAAGUAAGUCAGUAAGUUUUACUCCAUAUGAGUUGUGGAUAGUUAGAAAACUUGAUCUUACUCAUUUGCGUCCCUGGGGGUCUGCAACGUAUAUUCACAACUCAUCUCAUAAACAUGGGAAAUUGGGUCCAAGAGGAAAGAAACGUUUCUUUAUAAGAUACCUAAAACACUCCAAAAGAUAUGUAUUCAUAGGUGAACAUGAUGAUGGAAAUAUAACUGAGACAAAGUCAGGAGAUGUUUCAUUUUUGGAAAAUGAAUUAUUAGCAUUUCAGAAGUUGACAAAGAUGUUACAUUUUUGGAAAAUGAAUUAUUAGCAUUUUAGAAGUUGACAAAGACAUUCAUCUAUAUGAGUUGAAUGAUUCAGAGGUUAAUGACACUUCUGAUUUACAAAUUGAGAGAAACUUAGAUAUAACUGGGAAUACUAAUCCUAGUAGGAGUCACCCACAAGAUGAGCCUACUCCACAAGACAACUCAAUUCGUAAAAGCAAUUGCAUACCCAUCCCACGUCGUCGUUUUGAGAUUGAGAAUGAGGCAUUUAUAGUUGCUUUACAUGAUGGUGAUGAGCCAAGAACUUAUAGAGACGCCAUCACAUUAUCAACUAAGGAAUUAUGGAUUGAGGUAAUGAAUGGAUGAAAAAAUAGAGUCUAUGAAAUCAAACCAUAUCUGGGACUUGGGUGAUCUACUGCUUAACUGAAAGGCUAUUGGAAACAAAUGGUUUUUACGUGUUAAACAAAAGGCGGAUGGCAUAAUUGAAUGAUACAAGGCACGCUUGGUAGCGAAAGGAUAUACCCAAUAAAAGGGUAUAAAUUAUGAGGAAAUGUUUUCUUCAGUAGUAAAGUUUGCUUUUAUAAGAUUAAUUUUAGUAAUUGUUGCACACAUGGACCUUGAAUUACAUCAAAUGGAUGUUAAAACAAUUUUUCUCAAUGGAGAACUAGAGGAAGAAAUUUAUAUGAAACAGUUAGAGGGUUAUAUAACCAGUUACCAAGAGCGCAAAAUUUGCAAGCUAAAAAGGUCUAUAUAUGGGCUAAAAUAAUCCUCUAGACAAUGGUAUCUUAGGUUUCAUUAAUCUGUAAUGUCUUAUGGGUUCUCGAUGACAGAAGAAGACCAUUGUGUGUAUGUUAAAAGGUUUGAAGGUAACUUUGUUGUCUUAUCUCUAUUUGUAGACGAUAUAUUGUUGGCUGAAAAUAAUAAGGAGUUUGUCCAAAUCAUCAAGGAAUGGUUAUUUUCAAACUUUGAAAUGAAAGAUAUGGGUAAAGCAUUUUAUAUCUUGGGAGUUAAAAUCCGUAAGGAUCGUUCCAGAAAACUUCUAAUUUUAUCACAAGAGUCUUACAUUAGAAGAAUUCUUAAAAAAAUUAAAAUAGAUAAGCGUAAACCUAUAGAUACUCCCAUCUCCAAAAACACAAACUCUUAGCCUUGAAACGUGUCCAAUGAAUCUAAAAGAACAUAGUGAAAUGACACGAGUUCCAUACUCGAAUGCUAUUGGAAGUCUCAUGUACGCUAUGAGGUGUACAAGGCCAAAUAUUUAUUAUGUUAUGGGGUUGGUAAGCAGAUACCAAUCAAAUCCUGGGCGCAAACAUUGGAAUGCUGUCAAAAGGAUUUUAGCAUAUUUGAAAGGCACUGACUAUUCUUUAUGUUAUCAAGGAGGUGUUUUAUGCUUAAUUACAUACACAUACGACGAUUAAGGAGGCGAUCAUGAUGAGCACAAAUCAAUCUCAUGAUAUGUAUUGCUAUUGAGUCGCGGUGCGAUCUCAUAGAAUAGCAAAAAGCAAACAUGCAUGGCUCUGUCGACUAUAGAAGCAGAAUAUGUGGCAUGUUUAGUUGUAGUAUAAGAGGUUGUUUGGCUUAAGCGUUUCUUAGAUGAUCUUAAGAUUGUUACUGUGAUAGCCAAGCAGCCAUAUCCUUUACAAAGGAUAUAAAAUACCACAACAAGUCCAAACACAUAGAGACCAAGUACAACUUUUUAAGAGAUAUUGUGGUGAAAAAAGAAGUGUUGAUGUAACACAUAUCAACACGCUUCAUGAUUGCAGCCCAUUUACUAAUGCCAUGACAUGAAAUGUUUAUCUCACACAUACGCGAUCUUUGGGGUUAUGUAGAUUGUAAAGUUGUACUUGAUGAGAUUUUGUUUUUUGGAUGAUUUUAAUAACAUUUUUUUUAAUUUUCAACUUAUAUUAGCAUGAUUACACACAUAUAUGAGUACUAAAAGAUGUCUUUAAGUUCCGAUUGGCUUUCUUACACAAGUAGUCGCCUUAGUUGUUAAGAAAAGCAAACUGAGAUGAGACACAAGAUUAAGAAAAAGUACGAGAUACGUUCUAAUGGAGAUUAUAUCUUGAAAAUGUCGCCUUGACUAGAUCAAGAUGAGAACAUGAUUGAGCUAGAUACGAGUUCAUUUGGCGCCUUAUAAAGGCGAGCUUAUUGAGACUCAAUUUGGGCUCUUGAAUAGCGACUAAUUUCAUAUAUGUACAAUGAAUUGUUAAACAUAUGCUCUUAUACAAAGAGAAUUCAAGGUAACGCGUGAUUCAUAACAUGCGUGCUUUUGUGACCAAAAAGAAAAAUGAGUGAAUGAAUCCCUGCUUCCUCAUUGUGUAAGUUCCUUUGAGGUAUAAGAAGGACCUCGACAGUUAUCUUUAGUCACCAUCGACUAUAUCUUAAAGGGAAAGACUGGUGAUAACUACUCUAGCAUGUUUUUCUAUGACCAUGAGGUUAUUCGACCUAUGAAACAUGUCUAAGAAAACAAUGAGCCUAGAACUAAAAGAUAUGAGUAGGAUGGGAAGAUUUAUUCUCUUUACAUCUGACUUAUGCAUUCACCGGUUGAUUGUAUAAUCUACUUAGGGAUGAAUAUAAUUGUGAAUACAUAAAGUGCAUAACGUCAAACAUAAUUUUUGUUAAGGGAUUAAAUAUGCUUGUACCAAUGUAAUGGAAAAUGAAAUCUAGGAUACAUGAUGAACAAGUUAUUUGAAUCUUUUGCAAAUAGUGCAAUUGAGAUUUCUUAUCUCCAGUAGAUAUAUUGUGUUCAUGGGUCACACGUUGCAUUUACCUGUAUGAUACUGUUGUAGUGGCUUUGUGCCCAAAUACCCUACUCUCGUUGCUUUGGUUACUCAGUCAUCCCAUCACAUGCGAGUGGGAGAUGUUAUAUUUAGGCACCCAUGAUGGGCUGACUUUAUCCAACUUGAGAGAUAAGUUAAACUUAUAAUUUAUCUAGGAUUGUUAUAAGAUAAACUUAGUGUUUUACCUGAAUCCUAGUCAUAUAAGAUGCGGCUUAUUCAAAUAACUAUAGGAAGUUUAUUUGAAUUACACUACAUUUAUUGUACUAUAUAAGCACUAAAUGGGUGGGUGCAAAUGCGUACAAUAAUAAUAAUAAUAAGAAUCAAAGUAACAUCAUAAAGAGAGUGAUAGAAAAGGUAAAAGGUAGUGGGUUAUUGCUUUGUGAAUUGAGCGGAUUUUCUAGCCACGUGAUUGUCCUUCGACCAUCAUUGACAUAAGCUCAUUAUGAUGCAUUCGUGAAGGUUCCAGUAAUCAGUUCCUCUUUGUUGCGAUAUGUUCGUGAAGGUUCUUGGAAAUCCGUUCUUGGAGAUUGGAAGGAAUCUAUUAUUUGUUUCUGCAAAUUUGUGACGAUUUGUUUUUGCAUCAACCAACAAGGUAUGAAUUUGGUUGAUAAAAUAAAAUUGCAUUAUUGAUUAAGAAAAUCAACAAACCCAUUAUUUGAAAUGAGCCACUCUAUCAGUUAACAUUGAAUUGUUUUAUGGUUGCUAUAAUAAUUUUAAAAUAAAUUUAAUUUUUAUCUACAAUUUCAUUUCUUAAAUUAGGAGGUGUAAAAUAAGACAUUAAUUUUGGCAAUUAAAAGCAAAAGAAUUGCAGGGAAUAAAUUCGGCAACUAAAGUGGUAGUAAAAUAAUUUUUGAAUUUUUUUGUGGGGAAUUAGUACGGCCAAGUUCCUUGCAAAAAUCAGGGCUUACAUUGGCUGCUAAAAAGGACUUUUUGUGAGGCCACUUAUUGCAACCAUUAAUAUUUUUGUUAAUACAUAAAUUUUGGCUGCAAAUCGUUUUUGCCACCAAAAUUGUUCUUAUAUUUGUGAGGAAAACUUUUGGUGGCAAAAACUAAUUUUUCUUGUAGUGCUUUUGCUCGAAAACCCUUGUUUCUUAUAAUUUGUAGUCUUGAUUCGCACUCUCAUCACAAAAAAUUAGGGGAUUGAUGUUUGGGGAUAAAAUAUGGUGACCACAAUCCAAUGUUUGCUUGAAACCUAAACAUGCUUGACUCCAAUAAAAUAAAGGUUAAUUGCUAAUGAGCUGAGGAGAGAAAAACUAUCAAGAGCAGAUAUCGUGGAAGGAGAAAAGUUAAGAUUAGUCAAAGUGCAAUAGUACUACUUAAGUAGUACUUUCUUUUUCUGUCUGAAACCUGAAUAGGUUUAAAUUUUGUUGAAAUAUGAAUGACAUUUCAUUUAUCUUUUUUAAACAUAUAAGUGGAAUCUCAUUUGUUCUUAUAAAUUAAAAAAAAAUUAACAUAGUUAUUUGAUAUUUUAUGUCCCUACAAGUCAAAUAAAAAGAAAAAGAAAAAAAGGACUGGGUUUUACAUUUUAGGAAAAAAAUAUUUAAUAAAUAUACUUUUGGGAUAUUAUGUUUACUUCCUAUCAAAACAUUUUUUCAUUUAGAUAAAAGUCACAAAGUUUAUAUUUUCUAUUUAGAUGUAAAUGUUUGAAUAUCAGACAUAUGUUAUGAAAACAAAUAAGUAAAUUAAAAAAAAAGAAAAAAAUAAUAAAAUUUUAGACUUCAGACAUUUAGCAAACAGACCUUCAACAAAAAUACCCCGUCUAUUUCCUCUAAAAAAUUAGGGAUGAUGUUUAUCUUCAAACAUUUCACUUUGAGAGUCCAAGGGGAAGAGAAUUCUAACCACUAUAAAGACCUGGAAAUUCAAAAUAAGUUAAACUUUUCUCUCUUUAGACUUCCUUUUACUUUUUAACUGUGUUUACAUUGAGAUUUUUUCUUUCCUUUUCUAUUACACUAAAAAUCGAAAACUAUUUUUUUUUAGUAAACCCAAAAAAUUGACUUGAGUGCCAGAAAUUAACGUCAGAAAAACUUAUAUCACCUCUUAUUGCUUUUUAUGUUGCAAGUAUUUGCGGAGAAUCUGCUUGAGUUCAUGGAUUCGUCCAGAAUUUAAGAGAUUGGCAAACUGCCCUCACACAUAAAAAUUUAAAUGUUGGCUUUGAGGUUUAGUUGCUAGCUAACAAAUCGACUAAACGAGAUUUUAAUGUCAACAACAUGUAUUAAUUAAGAGUUUGAAAACCUUUCAUCUCUAAUGACAUAUUAAUUUCAGCUUAAAUAAACUAGUAUUAAUUAAUUUCCUACUUUUCCAAUUCUCAGAUAAACUCGAAACCGAGCAAUCUUUUGACUCUGGCCAUCUUCAUUCCAAGCAGCCUUAAACUUCUCCAUCACAUUUUCUGUCAAAAGCUCAACACCUUUGUCGUUAGCCUUCUGAUAUGCUGAACAUGACCUUAUGAACUUGAAGUAAUCAUCUAAAUCCAUCAGCUUCUCUACAACAAACUGAUCGAACGGCCCCGUAUUCUCAUAUCCAUCAACAGGCUCAAAUGGAAAAUCAAUGCUCAUGUACUUGUUGUCCACCAAUUUACGUUGUGGUGCCCAAAAUGGCUUACAAUCAAUGGUAUCGAAUGGUUUGAAAACUGCACCGACGGAUUCAUUGAUUUCGGGAUGGUGUAAGUCCAUGCAGCUAUUACUCCACUAGAUUUUUUGAGUACCCAUUUUACUUGUUUGUAAAAUUGACGUAAGUCAAACCAAUGUAGUGCUGAAGCAAUUGUCACUAGAUCUACACUUGAUUGUGUUGCCACAUUUUGCUCAAGCUCAGUUAUGGACAUGGUUGGAGGAGUAAGUUGAUACCGAAUGUUGGGGAGCUUUAUUGCGAAUUUUAGUUGUUUUGGGCUUGUAUCUGUAGCAAUGACGUGUUGAUAGAUCUGUGCUAGCUGAAAACAUAAAAUUGUGAGAAAUCAUAAAAUAUAGUAGGCUAUAACAAAAGUACUCAGAAUUGAGAGGGCCUAAUAGUAAAUUACAUAGGUAUCGUGAAAUUUCAACUGGUACUUCAUUUUUUGGGUAAUUUAACUUUUUUCAUCCCCAAAGUGUUGGGAAAAUAUGCUCUUUUAAAGCAUAUGUGUUUAUUUAAUUGUAAUAAAUAUUUUUUCUGAUUAAUAAAAUUAAUGAGGUAUUUUAUUCAAAUAUCUUAAUUGCAUUAAUAUUUUUAUUAAAGUCCAUUUAAUCAUAUUAUAUGUAUUUAUGUGAUCACCAUGUAGAUUCACAGAAGACAUAAAUACAAGUUAUCUUAUGAUUAAAUAAAUUUAGUUCGCAGUUGAUACAUAAAGUUGGGCACUUUAUUUAGGUAUAGACUGUAAUAAAUUCAUUGAAUGAUUUGUUUUAAUCAUGUAUGAAUUUAUUAAUGUAGUACGACUACAUUGAACAUGACCACAUAUGAGAUUUAAUUAACUUUGUAAUAACUGUCAGACUUAUUAAAUCUCAUAGGCAUUGAUUUUAUUGUAAUCUUAAUCUUGAGUUAAUUAUGAUUUCAUGAUUGUAAUUGUUAUUCCAUUUGAGUUACCAAUGGGCAUGACAUAUACUUGUAGUCUAGAUUACCCGGUAUCUUGGUGGGAGCAUUUAUGAGUAUUGGAGUUAUAGAUUAACAAUAUAGAAUUUGUACAACACAUCUCUUGAUGGGUUUUCGGCACUUGAUCAUAGAAUUUUCUGGCCAGAGUGUGUCAACAUAUUUAGUAUGUUGAAAAUGAUCAUUAGAGAAAACCAGUAAGUAUCAAAGAAUAAGAUGUUAUUAAAUUGAUUGGACAGUUGAAAUAUCAAUUUAAUUAACGAUGUGGUACAAAGGAUUGUGCAGUAAAGAAAUCAAUGUGGCUUGGGACGAAUUAUUAUUUGAGCAUACAAUUAUGGAAGUCAAUUCUAAUCUUUUAGUGGAGUAGAUUUGGAAUUAAAUAAUUGGACUAGUUUAAUUACAGGCCUAAUUAUUGUAGCUACUAUUGUAUGUUCCCAAAUGAUCCCAGGGUUAGCUCAUUUAAUUGACUGCACCACUACUGGAUUAAUAAGCAAGAUAACUAGUUAUUUGGGUCAAAAGCCUAAACAUAUCAUUUAGUGGGAGGCUCCAUUUAAUUAGCUUGUGUGUAAGGGGCCUUAUGUUAUUUUACAAGGUCGGUCCCCUAUAGAAAAAGCAAGUAACGUGAGUUUUUUUUUUUCAUUAUUUGGAGCUUAGGGUUUUCACUAAAAGGAGAUAUAAAAGGCUUAUUUUCUCUAAAGAAAAAGUGUGCAGCCACUUUAUACAGAUCAGAGAAAAAGAUUUUUCUCUCUAUUGUUGAGAGAAAAAUUUUCUCAUGCUAGUUGCUUUGGUAGUGAUAAAGGCGCCCAUACGUCAAGUGCAGAUCAAACCUGAGUCAUAACCUGGAAGAUCAUUGGUGAUAGUUCGUGAUCUAACAAGCGUGGUGGUGACGGAUCGUGGUCUAACAGGCGUGGUGGUGACGGAUCGUGAUCUGGGAGCCUAAAUCACUUCAGCGGAAAAAUCUAAAUCGGAUUUUCAAGGUACGAUUUCUAGAUUACAAAUUCUUAUAUAUUAUAUGAGAGCGAUCUUAAAAAUGUUUUAUAAAAAAUUUAAAAAUCUAAUCGUUCCCCAACACAAAGUGGCUAGGCUACCCUAGGCUUCACCUAGCUCCGCCCUUGGGAGAUAGAUAAGAUUUUUCAUUACUAGUAUUACAAUUAAAUUUUCAAAUAAUUUAGGUACUAAUUUGAAAAUAGUACAUCACUUAAUUGCCCAAUAAAAAUAAUUGUAAUUUAACUGGGGAUGGUAAGGAGGAGGAAAGGGGAUCAAUAUCUCUAUACUCAUUUUCAAUCCUUUGCUUAUAUCUCUAUACUGUCCCUCUUCCCUCCAAAAUUGUUUGAGGGUAGGAGACAAGAUUCCCAAUGGUACCUAAUCUCUAAAUAACUGAUACUUUUAUUUUCUAAACUUUAUUUAAUCGUAUUAAAGUAAAAGUAUAAAAUUAUUUUACAACACAAAAACAUCAAAGUAAACUAAAGUAUUUAAAAUCAUUUCCUUAUUAAGCAAAAGUAGAGCUUCAAAAUUGAACACACGUAAAAAAUCACAUGGUCUAAAUCAUCAACAAGAUUAUCUUCAUCAAUUUUCAAGUGCUCAAAUUAGCUAUUAUUUAUAUUUUCUAUAAAUACUAUGAUAAGGAAAUUAUAUGGUAUUUGUUAUAAUAUUUGUUAUUUAUGCAAUGAUAUUUGUUAUUUAUAUUCUUACCACUAUAAAUUAAAUUUUAAAUAUAUUUAUUAAAAAUGUAAAAAAAAUUAAAAUUAUAAAUUAUAAAUAGAAAUGGAGAAAUGGGGGAUGGAGAUUUCAUCGAACCCCCGUCCCUUCCUCCAAUGAGAUAUUAGGUAUUUAAUUAUACCCUUAUAUAUUUUCCCCGAUCUUUAAACAGAGGAUGUAAAAUUAUUCCUACACCCUCCCCAAAUGGAGAAAACCUUUCAAGACUCGUCCUUGUGGAAAUUUCUACCAUCCGUAAAUUUAGCAGUUAUGUAAUUCAAUAGUCUUAUAACUUGGGACCAUAAUUCUGAAAUAUUCAUUGGGAACUUUAGUAUUAUUCAAUAAUAAAAACUAAAGAUGUGCCGCUUCCGGUGCCGACGUCCCAUGCAAGGUUGCGUUUGGGUGUUUUAGAGUCAAUUAAUUUGAACAAUUCUUUUGGAUAAUUUGGUCGUGCUACCGCGUAUAGGUUUGCCUGCUUAAUGAACAAUUCUGCCAUCUUUUCUGUUUUUUUCCUAAGUGUUGAGAAUGUAGAAUUAAGAUAAAUCUACUCAUUUGGUUUCGUUUCGUUUCUUUUCUUCUUUAUAUAGGUUUUAGAAUUUGAUGAAGUGGACAAAUAGACAGAUUUUAGUUCGAAAUUAAUUUGGUAAUGUUUAUCUCGGGAAGCCGCAAUAGAACUAGGACAAUCUCAUAAAGUCUUAAAUUUCGACCGAAUUUUUCUUUCUUCCCUUAAUUUUCAAAAAUUAAAUACUUAUGUACUUGCCUUUUCGGUCGCAAAAAUGAUUUACCCAUCUCAUCAAUGAGCCCCACCUCAAUUAUACUUUGGCAAAUUUUUUGGGACAAUUUUAUUUUUGAUUCAAGCGUUAAAGGUAUCUACUAGAAUAUUCAACUUUCACUUUAUUCUUUUAUGAGGUUAAGAUGGUGGAGCUACAAGUGAAUCAACCUCAUGACGAGCGGGAGUUCAUGCCCUGUUAGAGAAAAUAAUUUAAAAAAAAAAUUAAAGAGGUGACUAUUUGAGUUACUAAUUAGACCCCAUUAAAUUUUCUAAAAUAACCUGUUAAAUUUAUUAAAAAUUGUCCCAUAAAUUCACAAACGCAUAACAAUUAAAUUUUGAUUUUUGAGAAUGAAAGGAAUUUAGAUCUAUUACAAAUAGAUGUAGGCAGUUAAAACCCUAAAAUUAACAACUUAAUUAAUUUUCAAAAAAAAUUGUUCACCGUUACUGUUUAGUGUUUACUACUAUUGUUUAUUGUUCACAGCUACUGUUCAUCUCCAUAAAAAAUAUUAAUUUUUCAAAAACACAAUAAAUUGCAGAAAUUAAAUGACACGGAGAUUUUUACAUGGUUUGGAUUAAUGAAUCCUACAUCCACGAGGUUACGCCUAGAUAAAAAACAAUUCACUAAGUUGAAAUGUUACAACUUAUGGAUUUACCGAACUUAAGACUCUCACUUACAGUUUAUCACAAUACAAUUUACUCAACCUUCGACUGAAUCUGUUUCUCUUGAAUAAUUGCUACCCCUCUUGAUCAACGAUACUCAAGGCACUUUGCAAAGUGAUAAAUAGCAAUUCUUCAAUGUCUAGUGAUCCAAGAUCCACCACAGAGAUGAAAAGAAGAUAAGAAAACAAAUCAACACAAAAUUGUGCGCCAAAUCCGGAUUCUCUAGGGAGGAGGCUGAAUUUUGCUUCUCUGCUUUAUUCUUUGUAUUGCGUGCUUUCAAUUGUGAAAUAUCUCUCUUUAUAUAGGCACUAGGGUUUCACAAAAAUAACAAGUCUUCAAAGACUAGAAUUCUUUCCAAAUAAAGUUUUUUUCCUCUUAUAAUUCUUAUGAAUCUGAAUAGAAAUGAGUAUGAUAUUUUUGCCUUGCUCGUCUCCCAAGAAAUAUCUAGAGCAUUUAAUAAACUUUUUAUUUGAACCAACUUCUUGCCCUAAUUAAAUCUAAUGUGCCAAUCUCAUCAUUAAUUGACUUGCAAAAUUAGACUUCUAAUUAAAUUAUGAAUAAAAUAUUCCUAAUAAAUUGGAAUCUCAUUAAAUUAGGAAAUUAAUAAAUUAAUCCCUAUUACAAGAUAUGCAAUAAAUAAAAUUCUAAUUUAACUAAAAUUGCUAUAAAAUGCCAAUUCUAUAAAUAAUGGACUUACCAGAGAAUUAUAAAAACUUUCACUUUAAUUGAAAAGAGGAAAGUUUUUACUAUUAUUUAAUUUAGUCUCAUUUUAUCUAUUAAAAUAAUAUCUGCAAACUCAUUAACCCAUAAAAUUUUAAUUUUUACAUUUCAUCAUUAUGUAAUUUAGUCCUUAGUAAUUAUUUUUUCAAAAUUCGCUACUGAUUGGAGUUAGCUCCCUAUCAUUCCUCGUUCUCAUUUAGGUUCUAUCAAAGAUAUCAAAGCAAAGAUUAUUUGGUAUUCAAUUACAUUGCUUCGAUUCAAUGUAAAUGCAUGUAGGUCCGGGUUGCCUUACUUUGUGGUCCAUUGGCGUAAUGAAUUUCAAUGGGAAUUGCAGACAUCUUCAUGUACGGUUUUUCUGAUACUGCACUCCACAUGAUUUUUUUUUAUCUUGCGGUGUACUUUUUUUAUCCGGUAGUUAUCUAUAUUUUGUCUUCUAAUAAUGUGUGCUUGUAUAUAAUUUUUUGUAGAUUUAUCAUCCAUGGUUGCAUUACUAUUAGCAUGCUCCGAAAGAUCUUGUUUUUUUCUUUUCGAAGAUUCCGCAUUUCUUAAUUUCAAAAUCAGCAUGCUCUCCGUCCUUACGCAUUUGUCUUCUGUAAUCAACAUAGUCAUUAACGAAAUUUCAACAAGGUAGAGCAGCAUUCAACAAGGUUAGGCUUCUUUUUGAAUUAGGAGUAGACUUUUAAUUAAUUUUUUAUGGAAGUUGGUGGCUAUCCACAUCAACUUAGACCUAUUUAACUAGUCGUGGUCAAUUAGCUAAGCUAUUUGGGUGAUCACCAAAGAAAAAUUGAAACAGGAACAUAGUACACGCCGUUUGCAUUAAUUGGCCAUUUGACAAAAUAGCUCAAGAGAUCGGAUGGCUAAAGAGCUAUGCACAACAAUAAAUUGUAGAAAUCCUAAUUAAAGUAAAAUUUACAACAUCCAGAAUUAUUUUAAUUAACUUGUAUUCUACUUAAUUUGAUUUUCUAUUUAAAGUUUCAUUAUUUAAGUAUAACUUAUUUAAGUUGUAUUCUUAAUUUAGAUUUAAGUCAUAUGAAAAUAGAUUUACUAGUCAAAUUAGGAUAAAUCAUAAGUAGUAUAAAUAAGUGUUUUUUGUAGUAUUUACAAAAGGUCUUGAUUAUUUGUUAUUGAUUGUUUCUUGGGAUAUACUCAGUUUGAGUUUUACACCCGUUGUCGACAUUAUGUGGAAUCAACAAAUUUUUAACACCUUAGAUUUACGCGUAUUCUUAGAAUCAACGUGAAUUUAGCUUACUUCUUUAUUAUGAUAUUCUUAAGAAUCAACAGAGUACUAAAAAUAUCACUAUUGAUCCGUCACAAUAUAGCUCUUUUCUUUUCAUUGCGUCAGUUUCAUUGCAGACCGUUUUAUUGUAGAGCCACGCUAUACUAGUUUAGUACUAAAGCUAAAAAAAUGGUAUUACAAAUCUGCCCCCCAUCUACCACCAAAACCUUCCCUUUCUCUCUUUUUUUAGCUUUUUUAUUUUUCCGUUUAGCUUUAUUAAAAAAAUCAAAUUAGAAAAAACUAAAAAAAAACACAAAAAAAGAAAUAAAAAAUCCUAAAUUUUUAAAGCCUACCCACCACUGACCGCCACCACUGCCAUCACUCCACCAGCCUUCACCGUUGUUUGACACCACCACCAAACUCAGCAGCCACACUGGACAAAAUACCAACCAACUUCGUCCUUAAGCCACCAUCAGAGCCCAUGUGAAACACCCAAACCCGCAAGCUUUUUGCCCACUCGCCACCACCAAGCCACCAAGCUUUUCCAUCAAUUUACUACACCACCAUAAGCCCAAGCAAUAGGCGACCAUAAUGUCACGGGAUGAGAGUUUUGCGUAGCAAACCAGUGCGGCACUUAGACGACUUCUAACACACAAGUCACUAAGUAAGCCUAGAUCACUUCUCAACCAGUGAAGCAAGAAUGCUUGCGGACAAUGCUAGAGAGAAGUAGAACAAUAUGGCCAAUAAUAUAUUUUAUUACACACUAAAGAAUAAAUUACAAGAGAGCUUUACAAGAGACCUAGAGAGCUUGUGUGUGCUUGAGUGUUUGUGUGUGGUGUGGUUGGUGGGCAAAUGAGGGGGCUCACCCCUAUUUGUAGGUGUUGGAGUGUUAGCUAUAGAGAGUUCCAUGCAACUUGCAUAAAUAUCCUAGGGGUCUAAGUGAAGAGUCCUAGAAACUUCUAACUAUUUACAAAUUGUAAAGAAAUCUAGAUCUUGGGCCGGGCUUGGGUGAUUUGCUAAGCGCACCACGGUUGGCUAGUUGUGUUGGUGGCCCAUUUCUGAGCGUAUCCCGCUUCUAAGUGCAUCCCACCUUGUGUGCUAAGCGUAUCCCACUUCUAAGCGCACUCCACUUCGAGGCGAACUUUUGCUAAGCGGACCCGCGUGCGCGGAAUUAACCUUCGGUUGCGGGAGAUUUGAACGGCCCGUGACAAUAAGCCUAGCUAUCUGCUGUUGUAAAGCCGCCAUAAGCCACCACAAAAAACUCUCAAAACCCAAGAGUUUCACAACUUCAAUAUGCUUCCAUCACCAUGAAUCUAGCCAAUCCACGGCCACCAUCAUGUUCUUUACCACUAACUCUAUUAGGUCUGGCCAUUAUCACACCAAAUCACGGCCACCAGCUGCCAGCAACACCAAACCUUGAAAGUUAGAUUAUUUACAAUUUUGCUAUUAGUUGUAUUUUUAAUUUGAGUGGAUAAAAAAUGAUGAAGACAAAUAAAGGUCCAUAUUGUCUUCUUGAGUUUGAAGAUAUCUUAGAUAUUGUGGUAAUCCUAAUGAUGUUUUUGACUAGAUUUGCAUGAUGUAUAGUUUGGAAGAGGAAUAUGUUUGUUUGCCUAUAAACUCGAAAGUCGAAGAAUUUGUUUAGGAUAUUGGUUGGCCAUUUAUAUCUAUCAUAACCCCUCAACAUCCAACCAUUGAUUUCAAUCAACUCCGAUAUUUGGUGAACCAAUUUUUGAAGAUGAGAAGCCUGAGAUUUUUCAACCUGUGGAAAAUUUUGAGAAAAACUCAUUUAUCCUCAAUAUUAGCUCUGAAGAUUUAUAUGGUCAGUACGAUAAGAUAUGGUUAGAGAGAUUAUUGCUUGAAGAUUUUAUCUCAUGCUAUUGGAUAAGAUGGAUUAAUAUUGUCACCAAGGUUGGAAAGUUCAAGUUUGUUCAUCAAUAUCAAGAUGAAUUUUCUCCAUCUUGACGGGAAUGAUGGAGGGUAAGAAAUUGAAGAAAUCAUAAUUAGAUUGAAAUUUAUAAUAUUUAGGAUUGUUUUAAUUAAUUUAUAUUCUAAUUUAAUAUAGUUUCCUAAUUAGAGUUUCAUUGUUCAUGCAUAACUUAUUUAAGUUGUAUUCCUAAUUUAGGUUUAAUUCUUAUGAAAAUAGGUUUACUAGUCAAAUUAGGAUAAGUUGUAUUCCUAAAUUAGUAUAAAUAAAUAUCUUUUAUAGCUUUUACAAGAGGCAUUUAUUAUUUGUUAUUGAUUUAUUUCUUGGAAUGAAAUCUUUGUUUAAGUUUUAUUCUUGUUACUUCUCGGCGUUCUAUGGAAUCAAUGAGUUUUAACACCCUAGAUCCACGGGUAUUCUUAUAAUCAAUGCGGAUUUAGCUUAUUUCUUUUUUGGUAAUAUUCCCAAGCUUAAAUGGAGUAUUGAAAAUAUCUCUAUCUAUCCAUCACCUUGCAUUUUCUAUCCAUCUAUUGUGUCAGUUCCAUUGCAGAGCAUUCUAUUGCCUUAAAGUAUCAAGAUUUAAACCUAUUCAUUUGAAACCACACAUUUAUAUAUUCUAAAUUUGAAGCCCGCAGUAUUUUCUUGAAAAUUAUUUAUCUUCAAUUUUGCCUUAGUAAUUUAUCUAGAAGCCAUAUGCCUCAAUAAAACAACUAAAAGCCAUAGGACUUAGUACACAAUCAAGCUCAUCCAACUAAAACAAAGCCAUUUGUGGAAUUGAUACGAAGCCUUACUUGAAGACAAAUCUCACCAAAGUAGAAUAAGUUUCAGUUACAAUAUUUCAAAUUAGCCCAUGAUCAUAACUCAGUGCUUACAAAAUCACAUCACAGUCAAAGAUAUGUGGAAACAAAAUUAUUGAAGAAGAAGAUAUGCUCAACAAUUCAUGCUUCCAACAUAAUUCUGCGGCAACAAUAUCGAGCUCGCUAACUGAUAGGCACAUAGUCGGUUCUAAAUCAAAAUGCUAUCACAUAUAAGCAUGGUGAAAAUCAUUGACAUGACAAGGUUACAGCAUGCCAAAAAUAGUGGUUACAAUUAUGAUUGAAGUUACAGUCUUGAAGAAAUCAUUAUUGAUCUCAUAGUGAUAGCAUACAUUCUUAAAUGCAUGAUGCCUAAAUAGUUGAUUAAAUUGUUAAUUAAGAUAUCUAUACCUAUUAAGAUUAGUAUUAAAUUUUAUGAGCUUUUAUAUUCAUAUGUAUUUUAUUUUAUAUGAUGAUGUCUAACAAAUUUAUCUUUUGAAAGGAUGUGGAUCUUUAAAGGGGAUUGCAUGAUAUAAAAUAUUUAACUAACAGUGCAACUACACAUACAAUCCUUUGAAAUUAGAAAUAUUUUAUGAGUUUAUAAUUAUUUGAAGCUAAGUUGAAUACCGUCUUAGGUCCUAUAGAUCUGAUCGAGGGCUCUGAAAGAGCAUGUUCAUAUUACCAAGUGGUACAUAAUUAUAUAUCCAUGAUGCUCUCUGUAUUCACCAAAGACUAGAAGAAAUCUUUUGAGUUUUGUCAUAUAAAGAUAAUAAAUGAGAAUAGUACAGAAUAUCUCUAUAUUACUUCUACUAUCUCAGAAAAAAAAAUUUAUUAAAAAACCUUCCCACUUUGUCAUCUGGCUUAUAUCAUCUGAUGAUGAAAGUAAUUGAGAGUAUGCUGUCAUAAACCAGACACUUUGUGAUCUAAAAGCUUUUCGUGCUUUGGCAUGAUCGUCUUAGUCACGUUAGGUCAGCUAUGAUGAGUAGAAUUGUUGAAAAUUCUCAUGGACAAACUUUAAAGGAUUUAAAGAUUAUUUUAUCCAAUAAGGAUAAUUGCACUGCUUGUUCUCAAGGCAAAUUAGUGGUCAAACUAGCUCGUUCUAAGAUUAGCCUUGAAUCUCCGUCAUUCUUACAAAUAAUUUAGGGAGAUACAUGUUGAUUUAUUAUUCCACUCAAUGGUCCAUUUCUUUAUUUCAUGGUCUUGAUUGAUGCAUUUGUACGAUGGUCAUAUGUCUGAUUAUUAUCCACAUAUAAAAUUGCAUUUGCUAGAUUGUUUACCAAGUUAUCAGAUUACGUGCACAAUUUUAAGAUUAUCUAGAUAAUACUGAUGAAUUCACUUUUAAAGAUUUUAAUGAUUACUGCAUAUUAGUUAGUAUUGACGUAGCGCACCCAGUACCAUAUGUUUAUACUUUAAAUGGAUUGGUAUCAAACAUCUUCAAGUAAUUGCAAGAACUUUGUUUUUAUAUAACCUGAUUACCUAGUUUUUGCAUUACGACAUACUAUUCUGCAUGUUGCCGCAUUGAUUCGCUUGAGGCCUACUGUUAUCACUAGUAUUCGCAUUGCAAUUGGUACUAAGGCAUCAACUAAUAUAUCUCAUUUGUGCAGUUUGGCUAUACUGUACAAGUGCCAAUUUGCACCUCGCUGGCAUACUAAAAUAGAACUCGAAUGAUGUUUAGGGAUUUAUGCGGUUAUGACUCACCAUCUAUUAUCAAGUAUCUUUAGCAUAUUACCAAUGACUUGUUUACGUAUGCAAUAUGAAUUUCCAUUUUAAUGAGAUAAAAUUUGCCUUUUUAUGAGAGAAAAAGCCGCCAUAUGAUGAUUGAUGCAAGCUUUUAUGGCAUGUGACAAAAUUGUCUCAUCUAGAUUAUCGCACUACUCAAAGUGAAAAUAAAGUGUGGAGGAUAAUUCACUUACAACAAUUUUGCAAAUCACUUGUCAAAUGCAUUUAUAGAUGGAUCUAAAGUAACCAAGUCAUGUCUACCACAUGUAAAUGCAUCUCACCAAGUAGUUGUUCCUAUUGAAAUUUUUGAUAAAAAUAGCUAAUAGAUUAAUCUAAGGCACACCUAAGGUAUGGUAGACCACUUGGUUUAAAAGAUAAUAUUCAACUAAAAUAAAAAAAAAUAAAAGGUUAGGAUUUUGUUAAUCAGUUGUAAGUAAAAGUGCUACUUCAGAAGAAUAGGUCCUCUCCUACGUGCCUACAGCGACACUACCUUCUGAAGAGAUAAAUACCUCAGAUGUAAGCCAACCUCUUAAUGUAGCUAAGAAUGAAGAAAAGUUUGCAAAUUUUACUCACAAAAUGGAAAGUGUAUAAUCAUAACAAAAAAGCUAUUGACAAUGCUUAUUCAUUUACAAUAGCUACUGAUUUGAUAAAUGAUGAUAUUGACUAAUAGUCCAUUGACGAAUUUAGACUAAGACAUGAUUGGCCCAAAUAGGAAGAAGCAAUCCAUGUGAAAUUGAUUUCCUUAGCAAAACAUGAUGUUUUUAGACUUAUAAUCCAAAUACCUAUUAUUGUUAAACCAUUAGGUGUAAAUAAAUAUUUUUUUAGAGGUGGCUAGAUAUAAAGCACGACUUAUUGCACAAGGUUUCUCACAAAAAGUAGUUAUUGAUUAUGAGGAGGUGUAUUUACUAGUAAUUUGUGUAGUUUUGUUCUGAUUCUUGAUUAGUUUGACUAUAUCUGAGAGGUUUAAUAUUUGUUUUAUGGAUGUAUUUAUUUGUAUGAAUCAUUAUUUAUAACACACACACACACAUAUGCAGUGGCGGCGCCACUUGAGAGCCCCUGCUAGAUUUAAAAAAAAAUAAACUCAUCUUAUUUUUUAGUGCAUUUACAAUAAAGCCCCUAGAAAAUUUUAAAAAUAACUAAAAGAUCAGUAUUUUAAAUAGUGAUUAGAAUCCAAAAAAAAUUCAAAAUCAAAUCCAUAACCACCACCAUCAAUCAUUUGCCAAAGAAAACCUCCAUCGGCUACCAUCAGUGAUCAGCUUGUCGUCUAUCUCUGUCCAAUUCCCAUGUCAUCACACCUCUUUGUUUUCAUGUCAUUGCCAUAGACGCUACAACUUGUAGCUCGUAGUCGCAGUCGCAGUCUUGCAUCACCGUAUGGUCCUCGCACUCGCAGCCUUGCAUCACCACAUGGUCCGCAUCUUUGCAUUUUUUCUAGUACUACCAUUGCACCUUUACAGCUUUUAUAUUAAUUAUCAAGAAUUGAUUAAAUUAUUUUGAUAAUUAAGCACCUCUGUCACUUUAUGAUUUAAUAUUCUAAUUCUUGAAUUAGUUUAUACCUUUUUGAAUUGAAUUGGUUUAUGCCUUUUUUAAUAGAAUAAUAUUAUUAACUUUCAAUUAUUGUGGCGAUGCUUUGUGGAUUGAUAAAGGGGCAAUGCUUUUAACUUUACUGAUUAUAACUAAUAAAAUAAAAAUUCCAUGGCCCAUGGGUGACGCCGUGACGAGUUAGUAACCUAGUGGUUGAGGAUUUAGUCGGGUAGUCGGUUUAUUAAAUUAAUAAUUUGUAAUUUUUUCUUUUUUUUUUUUAGAUUUUGACAUGGAAAUUGUCUUCAGUUUCUCUUUAAAUAAACACAAUUAAUUGUGUUUAGUUGUCACAGUUAUGGAGAAAUAUUACUCAAGAAAGCCAUUGUCACAACCUUCUCCAAAAAAAACCAAAAUACAGCUCAAAUCAAGAUGUAGAAUUCAAUUUACAAGAUCCUCCUACAGAUCCUGGUUUACAAAUUUCAAUCUCUUGUUAUAGUCUUAAUAUUCAAGAUUAAGUCCGAAGAACAUACUUAUAGAGAGGUUCUGUUCAACCUAAAAAUCACAACUUCAAACUUUUAGAUUUUGGAAACCAAAAAAGGCAGUUUGGUAGUAAUUGGUUUGGGAAAUUUAGAUCUUGGUUGGAAUAUAGUAUAGAAAAAGAUGCGGCAUUUUGUCUCUUUUGUUAUCCUUUUAAAGAAGAGAUUGGUAAUAAAGGGGGUGGUGAUUCAUUUGUUGGUAAUGGUUUUAGAAAUUGGAGGAAACCUGAAAAAUUUGUUGAACAUAGGGGAGAUGUUGAUAGUGCCCAUAACAAAGCUAGAGAAAAUGUGAAAUGUUGAUGAAUCAAAAUUAACACAUUCAAACAGCUUACACAAGACAUUCUGACAAGUAUCUAAGCGAUUAUCGAGCUCACAUGAUGGCUACUAUUGAUUGCAUUAGGUUUUUAUUAAAACAAGGGCUUGCAUUUCGUGGGCAUGAUGAGUCUAGAGAUUCAGGCAAACGAGAGAAUUUUCUUCAGCUUCUAUUUUCUUGUCGAUCAUAAUGAAGACAUUAAUGCUGUUACUUUUGAUAAUGCUCCUGAAAAUCUUCAAAUGAGAUUCAAAAAGACAUUGUAAGUUGUGCUACAGUUGAAACUACCAACAUUAUUAUUAAAGAGAUGGGCGAUAUUUUGUUUUCUAUCCUUAUUGAUGAAUCUCGUGAUAUUUUUACAAAGGAGCAAAUGGCUGUUGUUUUGCGUUAUGUGGAUAAAAAUGGCUAUGUGGUUGAGCAUUUUAUUGGGAUUGAACAUGUUACUAGUACUACAUCUAUUUCACUUAAAGAGGCACUUGACAAACUAUUUUCCAGACAUGGUUUGAGUAUGUCUAGGUUGCACAGACAAGGAUACGAUGAAGCAAGCAAUAUGUAAGGUGAGUUCAAUGAUCUUAAAGCACUGAUUUUGGAGGACAACAGAUGUGCUUUUUUUAUUCAUUGUUUUGCACAUCAACUUAAAUUGGCUUUAAUUUAUGUGGCAAAAAAGCAUGAAUAUGUUAAUUCUCUUUUUCAGUUUAGUUACAAUGUUAGUCAACGUUGUUGGUGCUUCAUGAAAACAUUGUGAUAUUCUUCAAGAGAAACAUGCUCAAGCAGUUAUUAAAGCAUUCAAUGAUGGUGAAAUAUCAAGUGGACGAGGUUUAAAUCAAGAGGUUACUUAAAAGAAAUAUGUUGACACACGUUGCUCACAGUAUGGUAUGUUAUUGAGCAUAAUCACCAUGUUUCCAUCUAUUAUUGACGUGCUUGAGAUAAUUUCGAAUGAGGGAAAUUCUGAACAAAGAUUUCAAGCUACAAUGUUAUUUAAGUGCAUGCAAUUAUUUGAUUUUGUGUUUAGUUUGUUGUUAAUGAAAAAAAUUCUUGGAUUUGCACAUGAGUUAUCACAAGCAUUACAAAAAAAGGAUUAGGACAUUGUGAAUGGUAUAAAAUUAAUUGGAGUGUAUAAGAGAAACUUGAAAAAAAUGAGAGAAAAUUGAUAGGACUCUUUACUUGGUGAAACUUCUUCUUAUUGUGUGAAGCAUGAUAUUGAUGUUCCUAAUAUGGAUGAUUUGUUUCAAACUUAAGGGAGAUCACAACGCAAGGCUCAAAAUAUUACAAAUUUGCAUCGUUUUCGUGUUGAAUUAUUUUAUGCAAUUUUGGACAUGCAACUUCAAAAAUUAAGCAAUCGUUUCAAUGAGACGAAUACUGAGUUGUUCUUUGUGUGGCAUGUCCAUGACCUAAUGACACAUUUGCAGCUUUUUAUAGACAGAAACUACUUCGCCUUGCUGAGUUUUAUCCAAAUGAUUUUUCUCCAGUGGAUCUUGUGGCACUUAAAACUCAACUUGAUAUUUAUAUUAUGGAUGUGGGUGCUGACAACAAAUUUUCAGGAUUGAAAGGGAUUGGUGAGCUAGCAAGAAAAUUGGUUGAGACUAAGAAGUAUCAAUUAUAUUAAUUAGUUUAUUUAUUGGUGACAUUAGUAUUGAUUUUACUAGUUACCACAUCUACAAUAGAAAGGGCAUUUUCAGCUAUGAAUUUUGUGAAAAAUCAUCUUCGAAAUCGGAUGGGAGAUCAAUGGUUGAAUCAUAGUAUUGUUGUAUACAUAGAAAAUGAUAUAUUUUGUAGUCUUGACAAUGAGGUUAUUCUUCAACGUUUUCAACAUAUGAAACCUCAUUGAGGACAUUAUAACUGUAUUGAAUUAAAUACUUUAAGGAACUUUUAUUUUAAUAUAUAUCAUUUAUUGACUACUUUCUUAAAUUAAAUUAUUAUUUAAACUUAGCCUCUACUAAAAUUAAUUUCUGGCACCACCACUUCACAUAUGCAUAUAUAUAUAAAAUGCUUAAACAUCCCUGUCAUCACAUUAUGGCUUGUAUUCUAUAAAGCUUCAAAAAUCUUUAAACAAAUUGAAACAAUCUAGACACAUUUGGCAUAGUCAAUGAAUACUUGAUCAAGGAUACAUGCACUAUAAGAAAAUAGCUCGGAUGUGACGGUGUAUAUGACUGCAAAAUUGGGGGUCGCAAAAGAUACUAAACUACUUUGCCGCGUGUCUCAAAGCUAUUUUCUUGGUAACACGUGACCAUUUUGGGACAUAAAAAACCAGUCACAAAAAAAAUUCUAAAAAAAAAGAGUGAUGAUAAAGCCACAAACUCUUGUACAAACUUAUUUUAUACAAAUUGAUGUGGCAUUAAUUUAUUGGUUGAAUGAAAAUAUAAAAUAAUAUAAAUAAAUCAUGUAGGCCAAGAAAUAUUUAAUUCAACCAAUGAAUUAACGUCACAUCAUUUUGUACAAAAUAAGUUAGUAUAAGAGUUUGUGACUAUAUCAUUACUCAAUAAAAAAGUAGUUUGGCCCUUAACUCCUCGAAACUGUAACCGCCAGAACGCCACACAAUUAAGUCCUUACCAAUGAAGCCAAAAGCAAAAAGCUUGUUGGAAUUUAAAGUUUAAACAUAUUUAAAACAUUUUAUUUUUGUACAACUUAUUCCAUUAUUCAUCAUUUUCACUUGUGCAUUUCAUUUUAUUUCCAAUUCACUAUUUUAGUUACAUUAUCUGUUUGCAUCAUAUUUGACAACUCUGAAAUUAAAUCUCAUAAUUACAUAUUCUCUUUUAAUUAAUUGUGCUUUUGAGUCCUAAUUUGAAUCAUUUGUAUACCUAAAAUUAGAGUUUGAAUCGAUUACAAUAAUUAGGGAUUCGAAAACCAAAAAUGAAUAGGGUUUUGAUUAUCUUUCCUUUUGAAUUUUUAUCCUCAUUUCUAUUUCUAUGACUUAUUUAAUUGGCGAAGCUUUUUCAUAGUCCAUUUAUAUUCAUAGGAUUUAAACGAACAAUUGUUUCCUAACAUUUCCUAACGGCUCUUUUUUUCUUUCUCCCCAAUUAUAAGUAAAUUUACUAUUUAGCUUUUGAAUUUGUUGAUUAAAUGCAGCAUUGAUAAGAUUUUAGAUAUUGUCAUACUUCAUGUAAAGAGCUUGAUUAAUGUUUAACAGUUCAAUUUACUGUAUUAAAUAAUUUUUGUUAAUGUCGAAAUCCGAUCGAGUCGGUUAGCGGCUCGAUACUAGACCCUUGCAUCAGCAUUAAAUUUGUUUGGUGGGGAAGCGGCUUGCCAAACACUAAGAACACCCUCCGACCAUUACCAAAUAACCUAAGAAAACCUGAAAUCACAAAUAAUGGUAAGAGGCACCAAAAGUUUUUUCUGCGAUAACCCUCUAAUGCUCAAGUCACUUUAUAGGUUUACUAGAAUAAAAAUAAAUAAUUUCUAUUUUAAACAAAAACAUAGAUCAAAAAAUCAAAAAUAAAACCAAGUACCAAUAUGAAGAACGGAUUUUUUUUUUCAGCUUGGCUGAAUCCUUCACCCUCAAAAAAAAAAAAAAAAAAAAAAAAAAAAAACAAAGUAGUAGGUAGCAAUGUUGGCAUGGGCAACCCCACUUCCGUUUGAAAUUCUCCAUUUUCCCCACUCCCAAGAGCCCAUUCCUCCUUUUGCUCACCAUCCUUUAUAAUUUUUUAUACUCGUCUCCCCAAAAUGGCCUUUGAAUACAUAAGUGAAUGUCUAGGCUUUGGUAAGGGUGGUUCGGUCAUUGCCUUUUACAAGUAAGAUGGGUGGUGUUGAAAAAUGAGGAGUGCACGUCCUCUUCAGUAAAUCCCACUAACAAUUUCAUUUUCUUUAUUAAUUAAUCUUUUUUUAUCUCCAAACACUAGUCCCCCAAUUUCUAGUGUUGAGAGUGUAACGAAUAAAGACUGAAAACUUUAUAAAAAACUCCCUUGACCGAUUGGGUAGAUCAAGAAAACAGCAGUCGCUGCUGCAACAUAAUUUUAAAAUGACCUCGAGGUGACUUCUAUGAGUCGGCUCAGGGUUGCUGAAAUUAACCUCGCCAUGGGCAAAAGAGUUGAGCGAAUUUUAAGUUUUAUUCCUCACGUCAAGGAGAUUUUGAGCUUACAACCUUUAUUACUAACUUAAGCUGUUUUAAGCAACUCUUAUCAGUUUAAGGAUGUAUGCUUAUCUUGAGCAAAUUUUAAGGCUUUUUUUUUAACUUUUAACUAACUUAAGCAAUUUUAAGCUACUCUUAUUAAUUUAAGGUCUUAUACCUUACUUGGAAUAAGUUUUAAGGCUUUUAACCUUGUACUGACUUGAGCAACUUUAAACAACUCUUGUCAGUUUAAGGUUUUAUACCUUACUUAGAGCAUGUUUCAAGACUUUUAACCUUUUAUCGACUCUCGUUGCUUUUUAUUGUGCCUUAUAAAAUAUUAAUAAAUUUCAUCUAUAAACUUUGUUUGGUUCUCAAUGCUAGCCUACAACUCUCCUUUCAUAAAUUGUUCUCACAUUGAGUAAGUUUCAAGAAAUCAAGUUGAUUAAGUGUUAUCAUUAGCCCUUAUUCGUGCUCAAUCAAUUUGAUAAGUAAAAGUUGUCCCUAUUUCGUAAAUUAUUAGUAGGUAAAUACUAUACCCGCAAAUAAAGGUGGCAAAUGCAUGUUUUGAUAUAGACAGCAAGACAUAAAUUUGUUAGAAUUUCUGACCCGAUUAGCGUGCAACUUUAGCAUCAAUGUCUCCUUCUAGGUGAGCCUGCCUCAUACGCAAAUGUAUCAAAAAUUGACUUGGCCAUUCAAAUAAGAGUUUGUCAAAUACACGACAGACAUAAAUUAUAGAUGUGAUAUCAUUCACUAGGAAUUAUGUAAUUCAAAAACAUAGGUUAAAUAGCAGCGAGUCUAAUGUCCAAGUGUCUAAAGUCAUCAUUGUUACGAAACAACUCAAACCAAACUGCAACUUAUAAAUUAUCCACAAAGUAGCUCACAAAAUCAAACACAGUGGCGGGGCUUCUAGCCAUUUAUGACUGAUGCUUCUAAUCAUUUAUUUAUGCAUCUAGGUUUUUUUUAUGGAUAAGCAUCCUUUGUACUCCAUUAAAAGUCCUCUGUUAAAGGUCCAUAUAGUAUUAUUUAUUAUUGCUAUGAAUAUUGAAAUUUAAAUGAAAAAUAAACCAUAGCAUUUUAGUAUAUGUAAUCACAAAAGAGAUGGCAGUUUAAACCAUUAAACAAAGUCAUAUCAUUAUAUAUGAUGCAAUAUAUAAUCGUUGUAUUAAAAAAUGGCUAAUGAUGAUGAGUUAAAAACCCAAUCUUGCAGAUACCUUAAGUCAAUAAACAGAUUUGAAGAAUAAAAUAAAAUCAUGAUUUUAGAACAAGUGACCUUGUUUGAGUUCUAAGAAUUCUGUACUAUCUUGUAGUGAAAUUGCAUAACAGAAUUCCCUGCAUAUUCUUCACACGAAAACGAGCUGCGUGGUCGAAUUAUUGGGUGUAAAACUAGCAGAAAAUACCCUGAAGAAACCAAAGAUCCAUGGGUUUUUUAUGCUUGUCACCAAAUAGGUUUAACUAUAUAUAUGAGUAACCUUUAUUUAAGAACUUGAACAUUGAUAAUAUUGCAAACCAAUUAUUCUUUUGGGCAGACUUUAUGUCUAGAAUCCAAUGCAACGAGAGUACAAAUAUGUAACCAAAAUAAUGAUGGCAACGACAUUAUGAAUCUAAGAAGCCAGAACAAAGCUAAUUGUUACUUAUUUAAGACAUUAUGCCAAGCAUGUGGUGGGCAAAUUUAAAAUAAAUUUAUUUGUAAGUGUAAUAGAAUGUAAUCUUGCUCAAUCAAUUAUGAAUGAAGCCAGUUCUAGCAAGCUGAUUUUAUAAGAAAAUAUUUUCAAUGAAUUCCAAAAUAUAAUAUUCAGUUCUUUCAUCAAGGAUAUCAUGCAUGUUAGUGAAGAAUUUGCAAACAUCUCAUUUUCGAUAAACUAAUCAUCAUGCCAAUUGUAAUUUAAAUUCUAAUGAACAUUUACUUAGAACACUGCAAAGAUAAAUAAGUGAAAACUAGGGAUGGCAAUGGGGAGGGGAGGGGAGGGGACCAAUCUCCCCGUACGCAUCCCCGAUAUUUUGCGUAUGUCCCCGUCCCCGUCAGAAUUACUUGAGAGAAUCUCCAUCCCCUCCCCGAAUAAUAACAUGGGAUCCCCGAGGGUCCCCGAUCCCCGAAUAACUAAUAUAUUUUUUUUUUCGAUUUUGGGUUAAUGAUAUUAAAAUAAAAAAUUUAAAUAAAAGUAAAGUUCGAAAUAUAUCUUACAUUAAUAUCCAUUACAAAAGUCACAUACAUUAAAUUAAUAAGUAGUGCAGCAUGCAAGGGAUACAAACUUCUUUUACAAACUAUUAUGAACAAAUUAAUAGUCUAAUACAAAAUUGUUACAAAUAAAAUCGAAUUUAGAUUCAAAAUUAACUUUUUCAAUGGUGGCGUGGACACUUUAUAAAUGUGGACUAUUCCCUUUACAACACAAUAGUUAAAUCGGAGAAAAUCAAGAGCAAAUAUUAGAUUAGAUUAGAUUAGAUAUUAAAAUUUUGAUCGCUGUGGGCAAUUAUAAUAUCUAAAAAUAAAUAAAUAAAUAGAUUUAAGUUUAAAAUAUUUAAAUAAUAUUAAAAUUAAAAAAUUUUGGGCUAAUAGAAUCUACUCGGUCUUUUUAAUGUCCUAAAUAAAAAUUUAGGACUUUAAUUAGUUAAUUAGGCCUAAAAGUUUAAUAAUAUAAAUAUUUUGAUAUUUUUUAUUUUUACCAAUAUUUAUAAUUUAAAUUUUAUUAUUUAUUUACUAGUAAUUUUAAAAAAUUAAAAUAAAAUUAAAAAUUAAAAUGGGGAAAUGGGUAGGAGAUGGGGAUUCCACCUCAUCCCCGUCCCCUCCCCGAAUAAGAAAUUGGAUAAAAAAAUUUCUCCGUCCCUUCCCCGAAUAAGAAAUUGGGUAUGAAAUUAUCUCCAUACCCUCCCCGAAUGGGAAAAAUUCCCGAGGGUACCCGUCCCCGUGGGAAUUUUUGCCAUCCCUAGUGAAAACCUUCACAGGCGGCAUUCCAUUUAAGCAUUGGCUUCCUCGUUUGAGCAAGUUCAUCCAUUUAGGCAAUAAGCAUGCUUAAAAUAGGAAAUAACUGAAGAUUUCAGAAGCCAAUUAAUUAACUGAUGCACAUUCAGAAGCUUAUACAAUUUCGUGGAGAUAAAUAAAGACUUUGGAAAUAAGCAUGCUUAAAAUAGGAACUUAUUUGAUGUGCAUGGCUUUAUAAGUUGCAUGCAAGAUUCACUUUACCAAUUCAAAAAGAUUUCAUGCAUAAGUCUUGCCUAAACUAAAUUGCACAUGCAUGGCAUUAUAUAUGGAAACCAAAUUGAAGAAAAAGGAAAUCAAAGUGGACGACAUGUGCGUGGCAAUUAAGGGAAGCAAAUUAAUUGCUUUAAAUUAGAAAUAAAAUCCAAUAAGGAUUUGGCCAAUCUUUGGGCAUUAUAAAAGCCAAUUUUUGGCUUUUGAUUCAGGGAGUGGACAGCCAUACAUAUGCAACACCGGCGGCAAGAAGAGCAGAAAAGGAAAUGAGAAGCCAGAAGAAAGAAAUGGAGAGUUAGCCACUUGAAUUAAUCUCCAUUAUUGGUUUUAUCAAAUUUCUUAUUCCUAAUUCAAUUAUGUUAAGCUAGAUUUUCUAUUUGGUUAAGCGUGAAUUCAAAACCCCAAACAUGUCAUAUGAUUAAUGUUCAAUUUCUAUCAUUCAAUUUAUUUAAUUGAGAUUGUUUAUGUUCUUCUAUAAUUAAUUAUUAUGAUUUUAUUCUUGUUUUAUUUGAGUGGCCAAUUAGAUAGGACUUGAAUGAAUUCUAUUACCAGAUUAAAAUUAUUGAUCCGUAAUUGUCUUGAUAUUUUAAUCAUUAAUAGUAGAUUGGAAUAAGUGAUUUUAAUUGGAGAACAUAACCUAGGUUAAAUAAUCCGAGCUUAUGUGUUUAUUACCUAAAUCAACCUAAUAUCUUUCUCUGCUUAAUGCUUCCAUUAUCUUAAAUUUAAAGAGUUUGUUUUAAAUUAUUUAAUGGUUAGAGAUUAGGUGAAAAACUUAUUUUGCCUAACGACAUACUAAGGAAAGCUUGAGACUAACAGAGCUUAAUGUUGUCUACGGUUGAUAGUUUCAAUAGAAAUUAAUGAUAGAAUUGAUAUAUUAUGUGCAUGUUUGAUGGUGGCAAAUGAUCAUUUAACUAAAGUUUUUAUCAUUAUUAUUUCUUUCUCCUUUAGUUCGAGUUUUUAUUAAAUUAUUUUUUUGUAGUUUUAAUUUCUUUAUUUCUUGCUAUUUAUUUAACAUUCAUAAACCUCCUUUUUUUAUUCAUCAUUGCCAUUUUCUUUAGUUAGAUUAAUUUAUGUUAUUAUUACUACUAUUAUUUUAUUUUAAAUCCUCUUUAGAGUUGAUAAUAAAUAUAACUAGCAUACUUUUUGUGUGAUCGAUCCUUACUCGCCCUGUACUAGUUAUUUAUACUAGUAGUAAAGUUUUAAAUUUGGUGCACUCUAACGACACUACCAUGUUUCAACUGGUUAGCCCGAUUUACUGUAUAUAAAAUUUAUUAGUGUGUGAAAGAGUAUAAAUAGCAGCUAGAGCACAAGACUUUAAGAAGUUACCGUACACCUUAAUAUAGCUGUAAGUUAGUUAACAAUAUAUAUGUGCAUACGACAAUGAAAAUGCUUCACCAGGUUGGCCUAAUUUAUUAUAUAUAUAAUUUAUUAAUGUAUGAAAGAGUAUAACUAGCAACUAAAGUAUUUGAUUUCACUACAAGAAAAUAGGUAAUAGAUGACGGAAAAUAACUAUCAUAAAAAUGGAUGCAUGACAAACAAUCUAUCCGUCAUCUAUGUUACUGUCAUUAAUUUAUGAUAAAAAAAUUUUCCACCAUGAAUUUAUGAUAGUUUUUAAUAGUCAUAUAUAUGUCACACUAUUUUAGUGGGAAUUUCAAAAUUAUUUGAAUUUUUGGCAUUUUUGUAAAUUUUUUGGCAGGAAAAUGGUUAUUAUUUCAAUUAAUAAUAUUUAAAAAUAUUAUUAUAUUCCAUCAAAAAAUAUUAUUAUUUUUUAUUUUGAUUUUAGAUUAUUCUUUCUUAAAUUGCAUUAUUAUUAUUAUUAUUGAAUUUUGGUUAUUCUUAUUUGAAUUGUAUUAUUAUUAUUAUUUCUUCAAAUUUACAAAUUCUACACAUUUGUUUUCAGAAAAUCUAAUGAUAAUAUUUAAAAAAUAAAUAACAAAAUACAUGAAAUUUAAUAUAUAUUAAAACAAGUUUAAUCAUAUACAAACUAUAUUGUUGAAGUAUUUUCAAAUUACAUCGAUCCCAAAAUAAACUACAAUUUCACCAGCCGCAAAAUACUUGCACCAAAAAUCAAAGUCCGCCAAAACCACAGCUAAAAUCUUGAUGCAGCAACAAAAUCCAAAUUGAUAGUACCUGAAAACAAACAUAACACAGAUAACAAACUAUGGCACGUUAAUAGUCUUUAAUGCCACCGUGCCAGAAUAUUUCAUCCAAAUUAAAUUAAGAUGCACAAUCUAUUUUGAGAGGAUGAACAAAUUAUUCUAUGAAUACAAUCUAUGGAAGCCCUACCUUAUGCUGCUCUAAGCCACACCAAGGUUCAACAUUGAUUAAACUUUUAUCACAACCAAUUGUGCAUGAUAUAAAGGAACAAGUUUGACAACAUAAUGCAAAUAAAGCUAACUCGUAAUAUAAAUAAGGCUAAGUCAAUGAGAAGUUUUUAUCAUCUUGGUAUAGACACUUUAUUGAAAUUUGUUUCAGAGGAUAAUUUAUUUACAUAAUCUAAUAGAGAAGCUUGUGCCGACUACAAUUAUUUAUAUAAAAGCUAGAUGAAAGCUAGACAGAAUGAGUUCUAGGUAAUUAUAGACAACAAGUAUUAUUGCAGCAUUUUGCUAAAUUAGAACAAAAAUUCACCUUUGUACAAUUAUGCCUAGACUUGAAACAAGAGCAUGCAUUGUGCAGGUAUGAAGGUCACAUGCAUUUGCCAUAGUCUUGACAAUUGACCUCUUCAAAGCAAAUGUAGCUAGGACGUUUCGGGGGACAUGACACACAACAUGUAUGGCAACGAUUGGAGCAACAAACCCACAUAAGAGCAGAGCAAAAAUUUUCCCUGCUGAGAAUUCAUGUGCAUUAUCAAUUUAUAUAUAAUUCAUUGAAUUUCAUUUUAACAUGCAAAUUUUCAAAAAGAAAGUAAGUUUGAUCAGUGAAACUCAAACAAACAAAAGAUCACAGCAUUUAGCUUUGGGAAAUUUAAAAUUCAUUGAAAGACUAGAAAGCCAAUUAGGGGCAUGGAUGCCUUGCUAAAUAUGCUAGUUAUUUUUAAAAGGUUACAGCCUAAAAUGCAUGCUUAUAGCUAAUAAAGUUAAAGCUAAAGCUACUUUAAUUCAUAUGGAAAAUAAAUAAUUUUCCUGUUUAUGUCUGACAAGAAAGCGAAAGAGAGAGUAUAGACCAAAUAAUAUAAGGCUUGAAGUUUCUAGUUAGCAUAUUACUAAAUAUAAUGCUGCAGAAAUUUUAUUUACCUCUAAAGUACUUCUUGACAUGGCCAAUAUCAUAUUUGCCUACAGCUCCAACUAACUCAAUCUCCAUCAUACUCUUCUUUUGUGUUGUCAUAUGACGAGUUGCACCCUGAGAACAAGUAAAAGAAGAUAUAGUCCCUUUUGAAGGGCAGACCUUGUUGGCUAAUGGAGAUGUGAGGAUUUGUAUACUGAGCAAGCAACGACCUGGAAAUUACCUUUCAAUAUCUAUAAUAGCACCAUUUCUCAAAGGUAAAAAGACCUUGAUUGUAUCCUUGAAUUCACUCUCAUAGCUUUCAUCUUUCUUCCUAUAAUAGACAGAAACCAAUAAUCACUUGUCGAUGAUUAAGCAAAAUAUAACUACUUCCAUUUAGCAUAGAGAUCAACCCAUUAGUUUAGGGAUAUUGACAGAGGAAGGGAACCACAAUUUAAUGCCUCUUGCACCAACAACAGCACCCGAGUAGAACCUAUUGAAUUUUUUUAAGAUAUAAGAAUAAACUUCAAACUACAAAUAAGGGUCAAAAGGAUGAAAUUGAAGAUUAACAAGAUGAAACAGAGACACAGGCAUAUGGAAAUAACUAACAUGUAAUGACCACAGAUUAAACCUUGGUUGAUUCCACCAAUUACCAAAAAGAUCAUAUUCCACUGAAACUAUAAAAAAUGCUUAAGAGUUAAAAUCUAAAUGUAAAAUCACAAAUAACAGUAAAUUUUUACUACCCGUAAAGAAAAUGGUCCCUAGAUAGUGCUAAUGACACAUAAUCCAUAAGCGUCCCUAAGUAACAAGAACCAUUAGUAAAGGUUGUAUUACUAUCAUCAAGCAUAACUAUACUGUAUUAGAUUUACACAUCAUAGGGGUAUACAAUACAAGCAUCUCUUACAACUGAUAAAAGUUAAUAAUAAGAAACAAAAAGAAUAAAAUUCAUCAUUUUCUAAGAAAACUCAUAGCUAUAUUCCUCUUACAGAUUACAGAACCUUACAAGAAUAGUUAACUACUAGAUGCAGCUUAGUUUCUUCAUGCUAAGUCAAAUUCUUAUUGAGUUAACCCAGCAACUCAUAAUCCAACUCUCACCUUCGUGCCUCUUUAGUCAAAUCAGAAAAGACCUGCAAAAAUUAAUCAAUUAAUUAUAGUUGCAUUGAUUCCAAUUUUAAAGCUAAUCAAUUUUAGAAAUCUACUAACUUAUUUUCCUUACAUUUUGGAAUAAAAAUAAAAUAACAAAAACUAAUCAAACAAGCAAAAGCAAACCAACCUGACGGGCAGCCAAUUCAUUGAAGCCACUAGGAUUUCUUUGCAAAUCUUUGAUCAAAGCAAAAGCAACCUUCUCAUCUCCCUUGCUUGGCUCCCUUUCUUAAAAAUUAGAAGUCUAUUUGCUAUCAACAACGUUCGUAGGCACGGCAACAACAAGCGUUCUUUGAGAGAGCGAUUUACAGUUAUUGAGGCUGCGAUUGUGGUUUUUUGCUGUAACUUCAUUCAUGGUGGCUGUAGAUGUGAGCAUUUACCUAGGUCGAUUGAGAGUGGCUGUGGGUUUAUGUGGAUUAACGGUGGCUGUCAGGACGCUAGGGUUUCAAGUGGUUUUGUGAGAGAAGAGUUCAGUGAGAGAGUGUGUGGUAGGGGUGGUAAAAAUAUCCGUCUGGUGCAGAUCCGGAUCAUAUUCAGGUGUUAUGGAUGGGGUAUUAUCCGACCUGGGUAUGAAGUUGGAUCGAUUUUGAAUAUCACUUGAUAAAUUUGGAACUCUAAUUUUAUUAAAAAAAUAUUAUAAAAUAUAUAUUAUUUUAAAUAUUUAUAUUUAUUUGACUCAUUUAUUAUACAGAUAUAAAGUUUUAAACACUUAAACUUUAUAUUUUCAUGUCAAAUUUUGUUGAAAUAAAUUUAAAACUUAUAAAAUUACCAAAAAAUAAAAAAUAUAUACACAUAUAAUAUUAAAAAAUAUAAAAUUUGAGUACCCAAAUUAAAACCCGGCCUGAACCCGGACCCGGACCUAGACUGAUUGCAUCCAGGCAAGGUCCGGUCAUUACAAUACCCGGACCUGACCCGAGGUUUUGCCAUCCCUAGUGUGUGGUGACCUCAACACUUAGGAAAAAAGAUCGAGGGUAUCUUUUUAAUUUAAACUCUUUAUGUUUACUUUUAAUAAUUUAUUUUUAAUUUAUAAUAAAAAAUUCAUAAUAUUAAAUAUUUUAAAUUUAUGAGCAAAAAGUCGUCGUUCUAAUUUACGUGAAAACGACGACGUUUCUUGAGUUAUAUAAAAUUUUAUUUUAAAUAAUACCCAAAAUUUUAUUCAAAGAAGCGCUAAAAUUAAGUAAACAUUAAAAUUCUAUCAUGAAUCAUUGACGUAAUAUAUUCUUUUUGGUUAUAAGGAGCUACUGACUUCGAAAGUAUGUGCAAAAUCAAGCACUUCUUGAGGCUUCAAUUGCUUAAGGGUACCUUAUGGAGGAAAGUAUGAAUUUUUGUUAAAGUUACAUUGACAAGGUAGAAACCAAAAGUAACCGACCAUUUUGUAAUGAUGUUGGUGGUAACAAAAUUGGGUGUCCUCGCAGUAAAGGGGCUAAAUUAUGUCUUAAUAAUGUUUCAUGGGUUCAGGUGCACAAAUAUGUGCUAUUUAACACAGAUACUGUAACCAUUUUUCCCUGAGUAUGUAGUGUAUAUUUUUUGUUCAAAUAUUUUGAUCUCUAGUUUUUAAUUAUCAUUUAUCCAGUGAUUUACUAAGUAAUGAUUGAAUUGACAUAGGGCAACAUCUAGCAAUUCUCAAGCGAGAGAUAUUGCGUGGUGCAAAACAUCACAUUAAAAAAGUUCACAAUGAAGUAUUUCACACAUAGUUUUCGAAUAAUGUAAGUCUCUCAAACAUUGCCAUUGUGAAUUAUUGUUUUAAGUAAUAGCAAUUUUUUAUUUCUAAUAUGUAUUUAUAGGUUAAAACUUUGCAACGAGCGUCAAUUGUAGAAUUCUUUGAAGAAAUUUUAAAUCUAGCCAACGGUCCAAAGAAGUUUGCACAAAGAUCCAAAGGCUACACUGUUAAUAGCUGCUGAUUCUGCACAAAAGAUAAUGAUAAGAAUAAAACAACAUAAAAUUUUGGUGUUGUAUUAAAGGCUGACACAAUGAGCUAUACUGAUGCAAGGGAUAAAAAUCCUCACUUGGGCAAAGUUACAUUUCAUGGUAUGUUAAAAGACAUUAUAGAAAUUCAUUAUAAUAAUGACAUGAAGUUUGUUCUUUUCACGCGUGAUUUGGUUGAUGAUCGAUUCAGAAAGAUACUUGAUGAGUUUAAUUUUACAAUGGUGAAUUUCAACCAUUUGUUAUAUAAAAAUAAUCAAGUUUGGCAUGAACCUUUCAUUCUAGCGGGGCAAGUAGAACAAGUUUGUUAUGUCCAAGACCCUGUAGAUUUAGAUUGGCAUGUUGUUAUGAGUUUAAUUUUACAAUGGUGAGUUUCAACCAUUAAUUCAUAUAAAAAUAAUCAAUUUGGGGGAUGAACCUUUCAUUCUGGGCGGCAAGCAGGACAAGUUUGUUAUGUCCAAGACCCUAUAGAUUUAGAUUGGCAUGUUGUUAUGAAAAUGACAAUUAGGGAAUUGUAUGACAAUUAUUCUUAUAGCCCAUUGAUAAUGCCUCAAGUUGAGUUAUAUCUCAAUAACAGUUGGAUGAGAGUGUGUAUAUGUGUGAUGAAGAUAUUGCUUGGGUUAAGAAGGGGGUUGAUGUGACAACUGUGGAAAUUAAUUCUGUGAAUGAUGAUGAUGAUGAUCUUAGCAUGGAAGAUAUUGAUUAGAUUCAUUAUUUUGACAUCAAUAUUAACAUAUAAUUUGUAAUAAUGUAUGCAUUUUGAGGGGCAAAGUUUAUUAUGUUCCCCCCAUAGAGGUGUUUUUACUUUUUAUCACAUCAAUAAAUCAUGUUACUGCUUUUCAGUAGUAAUUAAUUUUCGCCUAUAUCUAUUGUUAUUGUUGUCGUAUUGACAAGUUUAUUACACAUUAACAAGUUCAUUAUGUAUUUUAGUGUAUAAUUGUAGUUUAUCAUGGUGCCGAAAAGAAAUAGACACUACUACAAAAAUGUAAAACAAUGACACAUACAUUAUGACGGUUUAUUUAAAAAACCGUCAUUAAAAAUAUUUAAUGACGGUUAUUAUAUGAACGGUCAUAAUAUGUACUAUUUAUAAUGACGGUUCUAUUAUAAAACCGUCAUUAAAUAUCAUGCUAAAAAUAUAAUUUUAUUUUUAAUAACGGUUACUUAUAAAAACAGUCAUUAUAAAUUUCAAACUUUUAAUGACGGUUCUAUUAUAUAACCGUCAUUAAAUAUCAAGUUAUUAUUUUUAAUGACGGUUUAUAAAAAAAAUCGUCAUUAAAAAUAAUUACUUUUUAUGACGGUUUUACUAUAUAACCGUCAUUAAGUAUCAAGUUAUUAUUUUUAAUGACGGUUUUUUUUAUAAACCGUCAUUAAAAGUCAUUACAUAUUAAACUAUUAUUUUUUAUGACGGUUCUAUUAUAUAACCGUCAUUAAAUAUCAAGUUAUUAUUUUUAAUGACGAUUUAUAAAAAAAACGGUCAUUAAAAAUCAUUACAUAUUAAAUUAUUAUUUUUUAUGACGGUUCUACUAUAUAACUGUCAUUAAAUAUAAAAUUAUUAUUUUUAAUGAUGGUUUUUAAACAAAACCGUCAUUAAAAAUUACUAAUGACGGUUACAUAUAUAAACUGUCAUUAACUAUAAAAUGUUAUUUUGAAUGACGCCAUUAAAAAGCUACAAUAUUUUUAAUGACGGUGUUUAAUAACCGUCAUCGAAUAGAAAGAAUCAUUUUUAAUACAUUUCAUGACCGUUUUAUAAUAACCGUCGUUAUAUGUUAUUUGCCUUAAAAAAUUUAUAAAAAAAAGCCGAUAAAAGGAAUAAAGGAAACGCGCAAUCCCUAACCACUCACAUUCCUUAUCUUCUUCUUCAAUUUUCACGAAUUACAAUCACAACGACUCACUCAGUCACACACACCAGCCCUAACCCUACCUAAGCUAUCAAACGCCAAUGCCGCUGCCGCUGUCAAAUCGAUUCAAGUGCUCCGGCGCUGAGUCUAGCCGUCCUUGAGCCGAUUUGCUUCCUUUUUCUGCCGCCGCUGUCAAUCUCUGCCAUUUUUGAGCCGAUUCACUUCCGCAAAAUAGCUGCUGUCAUCUCUGCCGACAUUGCCUCUGUGUUCGUUCACCGUCAGAUGCAGUGUUAUUGUGGUGACACUGCCUCCGCUGUCAAGUCAGUUCAAAUUUUCUGGGUGCUAUCUCGAAAAUGUUGGUGAGAUUGUUGCCAAUGAUAUUCUAAAAUUUUGAAUUCAGGGUUAUUGUUUCACCACUGUGAGUUGCUUUCUCCAAUUUUGCAAUUCUUUCCUCUUAAUUUGCUUUGAAAUAUUUGCUCGUUGGAUUUAUUUCCUCUUCAUUUAUAAUCGAUUUGGUGAUUUUGUGUUGUGUAGCUUGUACCUUAGUCUCUCCUUUUCCUUUCAUAAUAUUAUAAAAUAUGUCGUGCACUUUGGCCUUUCGUUUCUUGAUUUUCUUGGUUAAUGAAUUUGGAAAAAGAGUGAAUUAUGGGUAAGGGGAUAGAAAAUCACAUUGACAGAAAAGAGGACUGAAACGCCCUGAUUUUUACUAAGUGGAGUUUACUUAUUUGUUAAAAAAAUAAAUUUUAAAUUAUUAAUGAUUUAAUUGUCUUAUGCUUAUUAUAUUGUUCGUAAAAUUUUUGUUACAAGUCCAGCCCAUGAACCUCUUUAUGUUUUAGCAUUUCUUUAUUUAUUUACGAAACGAAAACCAGCGUUCGAAUUCAAAAGGAACAAAACAGAAAAAGGAAGAAAGGAAACAAGAGGAUAACAGGACGUGAGAGAGGAGAAGAGGGAGAAAGAAGAGAAAGACAAGAGAGGCUAGGUGAAGGAUUUGGAUUUAAAGAGAGAGAAUUCAAUUUCAGAGCAAAAUAUUAAAUAUCUGGCUUUUUAAAUUUGUAAGCCUUAUUCAAUUUCAGGGCAAAAUAUUAAAUAUCUGGCUUUUUAAAUUUGUAAGCCUUCUUUCUCAGUUCACUUUAUUCUUUUAUUUUUCUUCAAAAUUCUUGUUUAAAUUGGCAUGCAUGUUGAUGUUGUUAAGUCAUUUCUAAAUUAACUUGCAUGCAUGAUUAAAAUUCUGUUUAUUUAGGUAUUAUGUCAUUGAAAUUAGUCUCUUUUGCCAUGCUUGUUUCAAGUUCCGAUUCUUAUUUGAAAAAAAAAAAUUUCUAUGUUUGUUCCAUAAUCUGUUUUGGGUAUUAAAGUUGAUACUACCUAGCAAAUUCUAAACUGUAAUGGCUGAUUUCUUCUCUUAUUUUUGUUUAAUCUAUUCAAAUUCAUGUAUAAAUUUACAGGUGUCAGAUAUUUGCCUAAUUAUCAUGUAUGUGUUAAAUUCAUUUUGGGUGAAUUUUUAUACUAUUUAAUCAACUUCAAAGUUACAUGGGUUUGGCCAAUUAUCACAUAAUCUCUUCUUUGACUAUUUGAUUAGAUUUUUGUUCAUGCGUGGCUUAAUUAAUUUCGAAAUCUUCUUACUUGUGAGUGUGGUCAAACCCCAAACAAAUGAAGAAGUCUUCUGGUUUUAUGUCAUAAAUAGAAUGCCUGUAAAUAUAAAAUCGAGAUUGAGCUAAUGAGUGAAAAUGAUGAUACUUGGAUUUUUUGAGGCUCUGUUUUUUUUUUCUUUACUUUAAAAGCUAAUUUGUUUAGCUUUACCUUUGAUUUGAAUUUUUUGCUUCUGUUCUUUGCAGCCAACCUAUGAAAAUGGUGAUAAUCGGGCUCCAAUAAAUAUUGAUUUAAUAGGAACCACAUUGGUAAGCCUAGUUGCAAGACAAGAACUACUUUGCAAAGCAUGCUAUGUGUAUAAUUCUGAGCAUUAAGGAUUCAGUUUCUGAAGGGCAAGCUUGCUGGCUGGGUAUAAAUGUUCCAAGUGCCAAUCCCACCUUAUGUAAGCACAAAAUAUAGUCUCCAUUUCCUUUUUGGAUUAUAUUUGUUUGUAUAGUUAUAUGAUACUGGAUUUUAAUUUAAGAAUUUGUGCAGUACAUUUUUUUACUGUUAGGAGUUAGUUUGAUCAAGGUUAUUUAAGUACUAAACUGUUAUAAUUGAGCUUGUAUGCAUUUAAGUUCUUUAUAUGUAAAUGACAAUUAUAUCAAUGUGUAAUGUAAAUUGAAAUUUGCCAAUGUGGCUUCAAUUGUACAGUUUAGAAUGUGAAAAUAACUAUCUAAAUUUUAAUUUAAAAAAA
rnacentral:lncRNA from 1 species